AAUUCUUGAAAGGAAAGAGUGCAGCUGAACCUCUUGAUCGACCAGAUAAUCAAAACUCCCUCUUACAUUUGAGUGGCUCCUUUUGACAAUACAGAUUGAAGGUAUGUUACUGAGCAACUGUCAUGUGGGGUUUGGGGCUGAAGGUAGAUAGCCAUGCCAUUUUGGACUUGAAGCGGACAUUAACCAUUAGCAAAAGAGGGAAUGGAUAACUUUGGAUUUCAUGUCUGGAGGAUAACACACAGUUAUAGCACAUCUAGAUGUGCUUUAGCAAAACUGUAACACAUAUUCUGGGCGAUUCAUUUGAGCGCAUGGUCUUGCGGAUUGCUUGUUCUUCAGCAUCGUCAGUGUCCCAAGUCCUUCUCUCAUAGCAGUCGCGGUUUCUUCUCUUCUGCAGUGGUGUGAGGCUUGCUAAUUCAGCAGAGCGGUUCCUCAUAGUCUGUGGUUGGUGUCUCUAUGUUGAGCUUGGCGUGUAUUCGCUUGUGCUGGUUUUCGCUUGGUUCUCCGUAAUUAAUUGAGCAACUCUCUUCUUCUUAAUUAAUAAUAAAAAAAGCAAAAGCUUUUGCCUCGGUUAAAAAAACGAAAAUGUUUCCUUUUUCAACUAAUCCAAAAUAAAAUUUGUUCACCGGUGUUGGCCUAUCUUUGUAUUUCGCUCAAUAACGGUGUGUUUGUGUAUGGCUUGACUUUUCUUUGCCUUUAUUGCAUCUAUUUUCCACGAGAAAUUUGAUGAAAAAUAACAAAUUUAUUUUGCCUUUGGCAGAGUAACCAGUGUUCGCCGACUAGCCCGCGCUCGCAAAGAACUCACACACCCGCACUCUCUCUGAUCACGAUUAGAAAUCGGAGUUGGGUUCCCAUCCUAGCCAAGGGCAGCCCGGCGAUCCCCGGGUUCGACACCCGCACGAUGGCGGCGAUGGCGUGCCCGCUCCCCGAGACGACCCACGGCAUGACCUCCAAGCCCUUCUAUGCGUCAGCCGCCGGCGACAGGCUCUUCGUCAUGGCCUACCGGUAUAUCGAGGAACUCGGCCCGCGGCCGCCGCCCGACGACGACAAGCCCCCGCCCGCCUGGUCCUGGUCCGGGAUCGACAACGACGCCGACCCACCCUUCUGCCCCCAGUACGUCACCUGCCACGCGCGGCACCCGGACGGGCGCACCGUGUUCGCGUCGGUCGUAGGGUGGCGGCCCGGCAUCGCGCAGGUCCGCCAGCGGAAUCAGAUCCUAUGGAUCAGCACGGUUAGAUCUUUCCGGUACACCUACCUUCUCCUGGUCCAGAUGAGGAACUCUCGGUGCCGGUGACAGUGACCGGUGAUGGCAGUGAGUGGAUGGUGGUGGUAGUGGAGCUUCCCGUGAGCACCGCGCUAACCCUAGAUCGGUAGGGAAUAUCGGUGGGGUUUGCGGCAUCAAUUAACCUUGUGAGUCGUGCCCCGGCCCCCACCUCUGUUUAUAUAGCGCGGGUCACAGGGGCCCACCAACCAUAAUGGGUUGGGCGCCCCCGAUCAGGGCGCAUUGACCAAAGGCCUGGCAGGCCGUUGGCCCUGCAUAGAGGAGAUCAACCUAACAUUCUCCCCCUUGAUCUCAACUUUACUUUUAACUUUAUACUUUCUAGUUUAUUUGUUUCAUCACAUAUUGGUACAUAGAGCAUGUUUCAUCGUAACAGCUCAAUUGCCGAUAGAAUCAUACAGCUACAACAUACGUUAUGUUCAGAAACAAAUUCUGUUCCUUUUGGGCCUAUCCAGAAAUCAUAAGGCUUUCCCUUAAACCCAUGCCGGCUAAGUGUUCCUUAAACACAUUGGGUGGUAAGCCUUUCAUUAGCGGAUCCGCAAGCAUAUCCUUUGUCCUUAUAUGCUCGAGACUUAUAGUUUGAUCCUGGAUUUUAUCUUUCACAACAUAAUACCUUAUCUCUAUUGUUUUGGCAGCAUUACUCGACUUGUUGCUGUGAGCGUAAAAUACUGCGGGUUGGUUGUCGCAGUACAUCUUUAGUGGUUUGUGAAUACAAUCUACCAGUUUCAAGUCGGAUACAAAUUUCUUUAGCCAUAACGCCUGCCCCGUGGCUUCGAAGCAUGCUAUGAAUUCUGCAUACAUCGUGGAUGAUGCAACUAUCGACUGUUUGGAGCUUUUCCACGAAAUAGCUCCCCAGCGAGAGUGAAGACGUAUCCUAACGUGGAUUUUCUAUCAUCUCUGUACCCCACAAAAUCUGCGUCUGAAUACCCUUUUAUCUCUAGGGAAUCACUUCUCCUGUAUAUUAGCAUGUAGUCCUUCGUGCCUUGCGCAUAACGCAAUGCUUUCUUUACCAUCUUCCAGUGCUCCAUGCCUGGAUUCUCUUGAUAUCUACCGAGUCCCCCGGUGAUAAAAGCUAAGUCAGGGCAAGUGCACACUUGUGCAUACUGUAAGCUGCCAACUGUCGAAGCAUAUGGUACUGCUUUUAUUUGACCGAUCUCGUACUGGUUCUUGGGACAUUGGAAUUUCCCAAAACUAUCGCCCUUAACUAUAGGAGCAGGUGUGGCUUUACUCGCAUGCAUAUUAUACUUUUUAAGAAACUUUUCUAAAUAUGCUUUCUGCGACAGUCCUAAAACUCCAUUGUUCCUAUCUCGAUGAAUUUCUAAGCCCAAAACAUAUGAUGCUUCACCAAGAUCUGUUAUGUCAAAAUUUGAGGAUAAGAACUUCUUUGUUUCUUGUAGUAGACUAAUAUCACUGCUAGCAAGCAGGAUAUCAUCCACAUACAAGAUCGGGAAAAAAAAUCCCAUUUUUAAACUUUGCAUAAAUGCAGUUAUCCUCAAUAUUUUCUUUAAAUCCAAAACUUUUAAUCAUUUGAUUAAACUUUAGAUACCACUGCCAAGAGGCUUGUCUUAAUCCAUAAAUGGAUUUCUUCAGGCGGCAUCCCAUAUUUUUCUUGCCUUCCAUGAUAAAACCCGUAGGCUGUUUCAUGUAGACAUUUUCUUUUAAAUCCCCAUUGAGAAAUGUCGUCUUAACAUCCAUUUGAUGUAACUCUAGAUCAAAAUGAGCAACUAAUGCCAUUAUGAUUCUGAAGGAAUCCUUACAUGAGACGGGAGAAAAUGUCUCAUUGUAAUCUAUCCCUUCUCUUUGUGUAAAUCCUUUUGCCACGAGUCGUGCUUUAUACUUUUCUAUAUUCCCUUUAGAUUCAUACUUAAUUUUGUAGACCCAUUUACAGCCUACUGUUUUGCCUCCUUUAGGAAUUUCCUCUAAGUCCCAAACAUCUUUGGAACUCAUCGAUUUCAUUGAGUCUUCCAUUGCCUUCAUCCACUUCAAUGAAUGAGGGCUUCUCAUGGCUUCUUCAUAUGAGGUGGGAUCUUUUUCCAUAUGGACUGUUUUUGUGUUAUAAACUUUAAAGUCAGUAGAAAUAGCUGACUUUCUUGGUCUUGUAGACCUUCUAAGGGCCUCAGUUUCUGGCACAUUCUGUGCCUCAACUUCUGGCACUUCUUCUAAAAUUUACUGCUGCACCUUCCUUUCAUGCUCAACAACGGGUUCAGUCGGCUCCUGACAGACAGGUUCCGGGUCUACUCCCAUAGUUGUCAUGGGUGGAGUUGCAACUGGUAGUGAGAAAAAUGGCUCUUGAAUCAUCGGAUUAGGUGCAUGCACCCUCUUCUCCUCAAGAUCAAUUUUCCGAGCUACCAAGCUCCCCCUCAUCAUUUCGUCCUCUAAGAAGACUGCAUGUCUCGUUUCUACAAACUUUGUAUAUCUGUCUGGGUAGUAGAAACAAAAACCCUUUGAUCUGUCUGGAUAGCCAAUGAAGUGGCAACUCACUAUUUUGGGAUCUAACUUUGCAAUGUUUGGAUUAACCAUUUUGACCUCAGCAGGGCACCCCCACACCCUGAAGUGUUGUAGGGAGGGCACCCUUCCUGUCCAUAGCUCGUACGGUGUUUUAGGCACCGACUUGCUUGGCACUCUAUUGAGAAUGUGAAUGGCGGUUUUAAGCCUCUCCAUCCAUAAUCCCAAUGGCAAGUUGGAAUAACUCAUCAUGCUGCGCACCGUAUCCAUAGGUGUACGGUUGCGCCUUUCAGCUACUCCAUUCUUUUCUCCCAUAGUGGGAUACAUUUAAAGCACAUGAGUUAUCAUAUCUUUCUCUUGCCAGAAUUUCUCCUGCCAUACGGGAUUUUGACAUAAUAUUAUGUCAGCUUUACCUUGUUACGCAGGUAUUUUCCCAGACUUUUCCCGCCAUGCAGGUUUUAUCAUAAUCAUCUUUUUCCGCCAUGCGGGUAAGUCCCUGUAAGGGAACAUUGCCAGAAUUGGCUCUUCUGAUUGCAUAUUCAAUCAUCAAAUUUAGGAAUAAAUCUGAAUGGUCUUUGACACACAUGCUUGAUCCGACGUUGGUCAAAUUAAACACACAUGUUGCUUGUUUCAUCUCAAAUCAUGUUGACUGAGAAAUCUUCUUCAUAGAGAGCACAUGAAAGACAUUCAUCAACCAACACUCUCAAUGAUCUAUCUUUUUUCUUUUGAUGCCAUUCUUUAGAGAGAACAUACUCCCUCAUGUUAUGACCUUUCCUGGUCAUCUUUCGGGUCACAAGUACCCAGCCAUUCGCUUUCACGAAUGAAAGCAUGAAAAACUUUUAGUCUGAGAAAACAUAGCCAAUAAUCAACAAUAAUGAGCAUAAAAAUAACCCUACGUUGGUCUGGUAAAAAAAUAUGCAUAUUAAACUUUUGUAAAACUUCCUUUUUAUACUCUAAAUCACCGUUGUGGUAGAAUUAGAAUAAAACUCAUUCUUCAACAUUAAUUCCAUAUCACCGUUGGGCGGAAAUGGAAAUAAUGCAUAUAACUCAUAAACAAUGUGAUGAUAGUAUUUCUAUUAAACAACUUUGCUAAGAAAUAAUCAUCAUCAUCAACUUUAUUGCAGCGGGAACAAGAAAUAUACAUUUCUCUAGUUCAAGAGCAUUUCUUGAUCUUUAUCCGUUCUCUGAAAAUUGAUCACUUUGAUACAAAAUUUAUCAGAGAUUUAAACUUUGAACAUAAGACUCAUAGAAUUAUAGCAUUGUUAUGAUCAACGUUGGUCAGAAAAUAACAAUACCAUAUUUUCUUUUGUCAUAGCGGAAACUAUCUGCAUCUUAUUUCACCCAUAGGGGGAAAACAUUGCUAAGAACAUUUCUUCCAAUUAAAUUUUCCCGUUGGUUCCAAUUUAAUUGGAGGAUAAAACUUUUACUUUGCAACGGAAACUUUAGAAUAUUCUAUUACAAAACAAUUCUCUACUCUUUUACUCUCUAAGCAAUUUUAACCGCUUGGUUCAAAAAUGCAUUAGAGAACCAACAAUUUAAUCUUUUUUUAGUUCUAUUAACUUUUAAAAGAGCAAUUUUAUUUUCAAUAAUAAAACAUGAUCAUGUUAUUAACAACGUUGGUCGUAAAAAUAACAUAAUCAUUUCAUUUCAGUAAUUACUUUAAUAUGCUCUUUAAAUAUAAUUCUAUCUAAACUUUUAUUUUCUUUGUAAAAGAGCACUAUUAAUUGUUUACGCAGCGGAAAAACAUGAAAACAAAUUCAUGAUCUUUUUUAUUUUUCUUUAUAAAAUUCAUGAACUUUUCUUUCUUUCUUUUUCUGAAAACUUUCUAUUUUCAUUUUCAGAACUUUUUUUUGUUUACCUUUUUUUCCCCUAAAGAAAAAUUCAUGAACUUUAUUAUUUUCUUUGUAAAGUUCAUGAACAUUUCUUUUUCUGCUUACUUUUAUAUUUUCUAAGACAAAAUUUUUGUUGGGAAAAAAUUGGCAUAGAAAAACUAUUUGAAAUCUGCCCAAAAAACUGGACAAAAUUCAUCAAACUCAGCUGUGUAAAAAAAGCAGAGAAACCCCCCUUUUUGUGUGUGUGUGGCCUACAGCCCGCUUACUGCGCGCUGCGCGGCUGCGGCCCGAGCGACGCGGCCCACGGCCUGCUCGCUGCAGCUGCCGGCCUUGGCCCGAGCGGUCGGCUGCUGGCCUUCUUUACUUUCGGCCCAGAUGGCCCGUGGCACCCGGCUAGGGUUAAUACCAGCCGUCGAUUGCCAUCCGACGGCCUAGCGUACAGAUCGGGCGAUCAAAACUGGCACCCGAGAUAAACCCUCGGUCACUUUCCUCCCCCCGCGCCGCUCGCGACCUCUCGCUCCUCUCUCUCUCUUUGUCCCGCACGGGGUCGAGCUGCAGCGACACGCCCGCGCCGCCGGCCACCGGCGACGAGGUGGAGCACCACCGCGCCGUGCGCGCGGGGAGAAGGGUGCAGAGGCGCGCCAGCUCCUCUCUGCACCCUUCCCCCCGCGCGCUACUCUCUUUUCUCUCCUUCUUCUUCUUCUUCUUUACUCCCUCCUUCUCUGUGGCAGAGAGUAGGCGCGAGUUCCUCUCUGUCUCGUUUGCCACGGCGUCGCGCCGCGCCAGCGCGCCGGCGUCAACAACCACUGCACCGCGCCGCGGCGCCCGUUUCUUUUUCCUUUUCCAUCCUUUUCUCCCAUCCAUCAAAUCCAGUGGCAGAGAAAGACGAGUGAGGCGCGACGGAGCCGUUCCCUGCUCCUGUGCGUCCGGCGAUGAUCUGUGGCACCGUUGCCUUACCUUCGCCGGUGACGCGUUUCCCUCAGCGGAAGCGCGCCGCCGUCGAACGGCGUGGCUGCGGUGCCCCCUUUGCCCUUUGCAGGGUUGUGUUCUUCUUCCCGGAUCCUCGGCAUGCCGAUGCGAUUCGGGAUCGAGAGGAACGACGCGGCCGGAGCGGCGGCGCUACUUUUUCCGUUGAGGAUUCAUUCUUUGAGAUAUCUUUGCCCUUCUAGGGUUCUUUGGGGAGGGGAAAAACUUUUCUUUGAUUUACUUUUACUGUUGUAUCUUUCUACUGAAAAAACCUAACCCGAUCUGGCUCUGAUAUCGUUGAUAGAUCCUCUGGAUCGGGACGGUUAGAUCUUUUAGGUACACCUAUCUUCUCCUGGUCCAGAUGAGGAACUCCCGGUGCCGGCCAUGAUGACGGUGGCCGUGAUGGCAGUGAGUGGAUGGUGGUGGUAGUGGAGCUUCUCGUGAGCACCGCGCUAACCCUAGAUCGGUAAGGAAUAUCGAUGGGGUUUGCGGUAGCGAUUAACCUCGUGAGUCGUGCCCCGACCCCCACUUCUGUUUAUAUAGUGCGGGUCACAGGGGCCCACCAAUCAUAAUGGGUUCUGCGCCCCCGAUCAGGGCGCAUUGACCAAGGACCUGGCAGGCCGUUGGGCUUGCACAGAGGAGAUCAACCUAACAACACCUACUGGUUCGACGCAGGUUCCGCUACCACGGCGAGUGGCUGCUGCUGUUCCGCGGGGAGGCGCACUACGACGGCGAGCUGGACGCGUGGGUCGGGCUCGCGGACGAGGCGCCCGGGCGCGUCGCGUCGUGUGACUUGCCGUCGAGGCGGGCUGAGCCCGCCGGCGAGGCCAGCGAGGGGCCGGACUGGAAGCUCAGGAGGAGAGGCUGUUCGAGUUUGAAUCGGCGGGGCACCUCGGGGCCACGCUGGUGUACAUGGGAGGAGGCAGCAGGUACUGCCUGGUUGAGUGCUGCACGGAGAGGGUUGACGACGACGACCCUCGCUGCCGUGCCACCGCCGGGUGGUGCAGAUGACCACCUUCGCUCUCAAGUACGGCAAGAUGGGGGAGCUCCGGAUCGUCGGCCGUGGGGGGCGCGCAUCCAUGGCGUACACGGUGGCUCAUGACCUGAAUCAGCCGACACUCAGUCCUAUCGCAUUCUGGAUGUAACUUUGAUGACUACUACUGUUAUACUCCCUCCGCCUAAAUAUAAGUCAGAGAUUUGAAUAUGGACUACAGAUGAAUAUAAGUCAGAGUUUGGAUAAGAAAAAUGAGCGCUUCAUCAGCUGUUAAACAAGAAGAGCGUGAGCGAACAAUUUUUCUUUUUACGUCAAUUCCCACUCCCACACUUAAUUACCUGAUCCUCCCAGGGAAGAGAUUCAAGGGAGUUGGACCUUUUCAUUCCCCUUCCUCUUCCCAUCCUAACUCCCAUGUACCUGAGCCAAUCAAAGGAAUUUAACUCCCAUAGACCUUAAACUCUCAUUCCCCAUGGGCAACUCCCUCCAAACAAACACGCUGAAGAGACAAAAAUGGUGUUCGAGGACUGCAAUUAUUUUGGAACGAACGUUGUAUUUGCCUGGUGGUCGUCUACACAUGGCUAAGGGAUGUAAGCAGGGCUGGCGGGCAAUAUUGAUCACAGUACAUUUGGACUUUGAUAAAUCUCAGUCACAUCCAUAAUCACUGGAUACAGGUUGCUUUACAAUUGCGAAAGCGUAGAAGCGCAGCUCCGUGCUAUGCCUUUCACUUGUCAGGGCGUCUUCAAAGCCGACCUCAAACCGCCCUAACCAUUUAGACUAUGUGGUCCAGAUGUUAGAGGGAUUAGGCAGGAUAUUAUAAGAAAUUUUGUUCAGUCAAACUUGCUUAAGUUUGAUCACUAUUUUAUAAAAAAUGUGCUACAAUCUAUAACACCGAAUACUCGUGUAGUAGUCUAGAAAUAUUGAGGAUCCUAAGUAAGAGACAAAAAUGGUGUUCGAGAAUUUCAAUUAUUUUCAAACGGACGAUGUAUUUGCGUGGUGGUUGUCUACACAUGGCUAGGGAUGUAAGAGCAUCUCCAGCCGCGCCCCCAACAGGCCCCCUGGACCUCUUUUUGGGCGCCGGCGCCUAAAAAACGGCCCAAUCACGUCUCCAAGAGCUCAAUUUUCGUCGGUUAGGGCCAAAACUGGCGCUGGCGGACCCAGGCCGAACCCGGCGCGCUGGGGGGCGCCUGGGUGCGCCGGGGCGAUCGUUUUUAGUGCAAAAGAAUGGCGGGCCCGCCGAGUCAGUGACCAGUGUCUCGUCGUCCUCACAUCGCCUCGGUUUCCCGCGGCGAAUCAAUGCCAAGGCUGCCGCCGGUCAGCCUUUCAUUGGUUCCUCACGGGCGGCGCUGUGCGGCGACACGCCCCCUUCCCGCCACGCGUACACACAGCACCACCCCCCUGGCCGCUAUAUAAAGCAGCGCCUCCCUUGCCGGUGGACACACCUGCCCGCAACCCGUCUCUCCCGCUCUGUGCAGAGCCACCGCUGACGAGCCCUCUUUCCUCUCCCUCCCCGUUCACAGCCACCACAGACGAUGGGCGAAAGGUUCGCCAGCGAUGGGGCGGCGGCGAAUGGCUUCAGCCGCCGCUCUCUGCACGAGUGGGAAGCUCAUCUCCUGCACGAGCCAACUACCCGGCGCCAGACUAGAAGCUCAGCGAGGAGAGGCUGUUCGACUUCGACUAUGAGUCGACGGGGCACCUCGGGGCCACGCUGGUGUACAUGGGAGGAGGCAGCAGGUACUGCCUGGUUGAGUGUUGCGCGUAGAGGGUUGACGACGACGACCCUCGCUGCCACCGCCGUGUGGUGCAGGUGACCACCUUCGCUCUCAAGUAGGGAAAGAAGGGGGAGCUCCGGAUCGUCGGCCGUGGGGGGAGCGCAUACAUGGCGUGCACGGUGGCUCAUGACAUGAAUCCACCGACACUGGGUCCUACCGCGUUCUGGAUGUAACUUUGAUGACUACUCCAUCUUUAUCGAAAUGAUUGAAGUUUUAGGUUUGUCUAAGUCAAACUUGUUUAAGGUUGAUUACUUUUUUAUAAAAAUCUGCUACAAUUAUAACAGCGAAUACACGUAUAGAGAGGUGCUGCUGCCGCCCCUCUCCUCGACCCCAUCCCUCCCGGUCUCCUCCUUCUCCUCGCUGUUGCGAAGCUUUGCGGGGCAAAGCUCGGGGCGGGGGAUGAUGUCAGUGGCGGGGCAUUCCUCUGCCGCAGCUUCGGGAUGUCGCUGCGGUGGAGAUUCACGCGGGUCUCCUAGACGUGUGCAUCAUCCGACAUCAGCGGCGUAGCGGUGAGGGCCCUUCGCCGUCGAUGGCUCACCUAGGCGGGGCAUGGCGGUUCCGGGGUGGUGCGGCUCUGGUCGUGCGGUUUCCCAGUAGCAGACGUCACCCAUUGGUGUGCUGGAUGACGAGGGAGGUCGAUUUGGUGAUCCAGCCGGGGAUGGGCGUGAAUUUGCCAAUGAAAGCUUGGUUGGGCCUCAUCCAGAACUGUUAACGGCGGCGCCCGCGGAUUUCAUUACUUCGUUGGGGUCGUUGUGGGGCGAUUUGCGUUUCCUGUAUGACCCAUGGGAAACCCCAGAUUCAGGCUUUCCGGAUCGGAUAAUGGAGAGGUUCCUGCGUCGUCACCCCCAUGGGGGCACCAUCUUUGGGGUUGUACAUCAGUUGGAGAGACAAGUGUUUGGCUAGGUGGCUGGGCGCAGCUCUCCGUAUGCUUCUCGUGCGGUGACCAAGGUGGAGCGGUGUGCCAUCUACAAUAUCAACGACGGUGAGUCUUGGUGGCCAGGUGCAGCGGGGUCUCGCCACUGGAUACCGUUUGAUGGGCGCGCAGGAGGCUGGCUGUGUCGGGCGUCGUGGUGGCGUCGAUGACAGAAGGGUCUGGCAAGAUCAGUUUAUUGAUUGCUCCAAAAAAUGGGACUGCGGAAGAUGGCGGUGAUGGAUUCUAGAGCUUGCUCAUGCGGUGCACGCCGAGGGUCUGAUCGGUUGGUGUUCCUGGCUAGCCGACUAGCUUGGUGAGGCCAUCGGAUUUUUUGAUGUGCAUGGCAGGAGAUCAAGACACACCAUUAAUCUUGUAGGUUGGGCGACUGUUUUCGUCAGAAAGGUGGUUUUGAGUUAAUCUAUAUAUUUAUUUAGAAAGGCCUUGUUUAAUAAUUUGAUAAAGAUGAAUGUGUGCAUUGCUCGAUGUGGAGACUCGGGGUAAUCCUCCUUUUCAAAAGAAAAACCCAUAUAAUAGUAUAUAAAUAUAUGUUAUAGAGGAUUACAAGAGGCAAGAAUGGUAUUUCACAACUUCAAUUAUUUUGGAACGGAUGUUAUAUUUGUCUGGUGGUCGUCCUGUACAAAUGGCUAGGGAUGUAAGAGCAACUUUAACAGUCCCCUGUUUCUAAAAUAAUCGCCGUUUACAGAAAGUUGGGGCAAAAAAACCCUUUUCAACAGUUUCUGUAGACUAACUUUAUCUUUAGAGGAUCUCCUAAAAGAGACCUUUUUCUUCAGGUUUAUGGGAAGAUGUUCUGUAACAUUUGCCCGCACACGCCAUCGCCUGCCGCCGCCUUACCCGAGCACGCGGCCACACCCCUGCCGCCACCCGCGCACGCCUCUGCUGCCUUGCAUGCGCCCGCCGUUGCCGUGCACCUGCUGCCGACCGCACCGUCGCCUCCCGCCAACACGGCCUCGCCAGUGGCCACCGCAUGCCCGCUGGUGCCACUGGCCGGCGGGUCCUAGCAAUUAUCUAUUUUUUUGUUUAAUUAAAAGUAAAAAAUUAUUUUAGGGUAAGAAGAUUAGGGGAAGUCUGUUGUGUGGAAAGGUAUUGCGCAUGGCUUAGAAUUAUUGAAGAAGGGGGUGAUCUGGCGUGUGGGGAAUGGAGAAUCUGUGAGGACAUGGGGGGAUCCGUGGAUCCCUAACGGCCCAUCAUUUAGACGGAUCACACCUCAAGGUAAUUGCAGGCUUAACCAUGUUUCUGAUUUUCUUGAUGAACAUGGUGCAUGGAAAUCUGAGUUGUUAUCUGAAUAUGUCUGCCAAUGGAUGAGGAAGAAGUUUUAAAGAUCUGUUCAUCUCCGAGGCAAAGAGAGAAUUUUAUAGCAUGGCAAUCUCAGCGGACGGGAGUAUUUACUGUUCGAAGUGCUUAUCGUCUCGCCAUGGCUCACCAUGAACUACAGUUUCGAGGUGGUGCUUCUAGUUCCAACCCGGAUGAAUCGAGGAGGUUGUGGGAUUUGAUAUGGCAAGCAAAGGUUCUGUUUUUGUUUUAUUCUAUGUCAAAAUAAUUCAGGACUACAACAAGUGCUAUUUUUUUAAAACUGUGAAUUAUUAAAAACAGUUCUUGAAUUCAAAGUAUGUUCACAAUUUAAAAAGAAUGAACAUUUUCUAAAUUUUAAUGAAGAUUUUGUUAUUUUGCCGAAAUUUUUUUAUGAGCAUUUUUUAAUAUUGAUGAAUAUUUUUUGUAUUUUAUGAACAAAUUUUGUAUUGAAUAUUUUUCUGAAAAAUGAUGAAGAAAAUUUGAAUUCAAUGAAUUUUUUUUAAUUUGAUGAACAUUUUUUGAAAAUGGUGACAAAAUUAUAAUUUUCUAAAAAUAUUUUUAGUUUGAGGAACAAAUUUUGAAUAUUGAUGAAUAUUUUUUAAAAUCGGAGGAACAAAAAAUUGAAUCCGAUGAACAUUAUUUUAAUUGAUGAACAUUUUCUGAAUUUGAUGAACAAAAAAAAUUCAAGAAUUUGAAAAAGAAAAUCGCAAAAAAGUGAGAAACUAAUAAAGAAAGCAGAAAGGAAAAAUAAAAAGGAAAAAGAAAGAAAAACAACAGGAAAAAGGAAAUAAAUUAAAAAAGGAAAAAGAAAAAUAAGAAGAAGAAGUAAAUAUAACAGAAAAACAAAAAAGUAAGAAACAAAAAUAAAAACCGGUAGAGAAAACAGAAAAAGGGGAAAAACAUUUUGGGCCGGCCCAUACUUCGAUCGGGAGCUUGGGGGUGCGCGCUAUGUCGCUAGCGCGCGAUCCUGCCAAAUAGGAGCCGCCGGCAUGAAGAGAGAGUCAUUUUUUUAGGGUUUUGUCUGCUGGACGUAUACUGGCUGUGUCAUGUAGUAGUUUUUAUUUUUUUGCAGUGUAUGCACCUCUUUUCUGCGGUCCAACACACACCGUGUGGCCGUGAACCGCCGACAGGUGGAUCUGCCAUCGCGCCGCUGCGGAUGGCUAUAGGUGCCACACCAUGUCGGCUGGGUGAUCAUGCACCACGAUGCCCUGGAUGGGCGGUGGUGCCUUGGACAGGCUAAGGUGUCACGGCUGAUGGGCAAGGUGACAUGGUGUGGUGGAUUAGCGGAUCAGCCAUCGGGCCGCCACAGACGGCCAAAUGUGCCACUGCGCCGUCGCGGAUGGGCGGAUCUGUCACCGCGGAUGGAUAGACUAGGUCGACCGCGGUCACGGGAAGAAGCGCAUACAAGAGUCGAUUCUUAGAGCAUCUCCAGCCGUUCGGCCCCCGGGACGUAAAAAAAACGUGUCCUGAGGCGAGCCGGCGAGAUUUUCGGCGUGGGGGCGACCGCGUUCCCAGUCGUCGUCCUCAGGUCAGCCCGAGGCUAAAUUUAUUCAGCGUUUUUUUGACACAAACUCGUCGAAAUUCAUCCAAACUCGGUGACAUUCAUCCAAAUUUGUACAAAAAAUAAAUAAAUAAACAAACACGGCCUAGCUACGCCGUCCUCGCCGCCGUCCGGCUUCUACAUGCCUAGGCGCUUGUAGAAGUCGGUGUAGUCUCCGUCGUCGUCGUCGUCGUCGUCGUUGUCUUCCUCGUCGUCCUCGCCCUGCCACCCGCCGUCGUCCCUGCUGCAGCCCUGUCCAUGGUCGCCGACGCGGGAUGGCCCGGCCUCCUCCUCAUCACUGUCGAGGUAGACGGUGCCGUCCACCUCGCGGACGGGGAGGUGGUGGCGCGCCUUGAGUCCUUAAUGGCGCGGCGCUGGCGAGCCACCUGCUCGUGGACGCAGUCCUUCCUCGCCCACUUCAUGGCCGUCUCGUCGGCGGCGGCCAUCGCGAGGUGCUCCGGCUUCACCGGGAGCAGGGGAGGCUUCGGCUCGGUUUUUGGCCGGACGAGGCGCAGGCAACCGCCGCGGCCUUCCUCGGGGAUGGUCAGGGCGCCGCUGCGGGUGCGGCGCCCUAGCGGGGACUCCCCCUCCGUGUCCUGCGGCUCGGGCUUGACGGCAAAGGCCGCCGGCGAGCCGCCCGAGGAGGAGGAGGUCGUCGCGUCCGACAACCGCCGCGGCGUCCACGAGCUGCCACAGCGGAGAGAGAAGGACGGGGGAGCGGGGGCGGGGUACUCGAGGCGCGGCGUGUUGCCGGCCUCGAUGUAGUCGAGGACGUUCUCGAGGGUGCGGCCGGGAACCCCCACCACCCGCGCCGCCCUUCGGCGUUGUGGCGGCCGCGAGGCACGACGCCAUUGGUGGAGGCGAUUAGGCCGUCACGUCGGUGGUCGAAGUAGAUCGUCCAGAACGCGUUGUUGUCGGGGGAGUACGCCGGCGUUCGCCGCUGAUCCUCUGUCAGCGACGACCUAACGCGGGCGACCUCUGCCCGCCUGUCCGCCUCGGUGGGAGCGGGUGGCACCGGCACGCCGCCGGCGCUCAAGCGCCACGCACCCGGCACCCUCAUGUCCGGGGGAGCCGGGUAGUCGGCCUUCAAAAGGAGGCGCGCCUCCAACUCGUGGAGGUGGCGGCGGCCGAAGCCGUUCUUCGUCACGGAGUCGCCUGGGUACCGUGCUGCCAUUGCUCGUCGGUGGGCGUGUGGAGUGUGCGAGCGGGGGAGGGGGAGGCGAUUUUUUGCUGCGGUGCGGCGUUCACCGGCGAGGAGUCCGGCUUUUAUAGCCGGAGCAAGGGUGGCAGAGGCGCAUGCCAGGCGACGCGUGGCGGACGGCCGUGGCGCCGGGCGACGCGACGCUUCACUGCGCAUCAUCAAUGGGCAUGUUGACCGGCGUGCUGCAUCGUGCCAGGCGCGGCAUCAAUGGAGGCGACGGCGCGGCAGCGCGUCAGUUGGCAUUGAUUCCCGCGGGAAACGAGGCGAUGUGGACGACGAAGCGGCGCGUCGCUGACAGGGCGGGCCCAUCCGCCAAAAACGGUCCGUCCGGCGCCCCCAGGCGACCCCCAGCGCGCCGGGUUCGAGUUGGGUACGCCGGCGUCAAUUUCGGCCCAAUCCGACGGAAAACGGGCUCCUGGGGUCGUGACUGAGCCAUUUGUUUUCUCGCCGGCGCCGAAAAAGUGGUCUGGGAGGACCUGUUGGGGGCGCGGCUGGAGAUGCUCUUAGGGUCUCUUUGAUUCAAAGGAUCCUCAUAGGAUUUUUGAAGGAUUAAAAUCCUUAGAAAUUUUUUCUACGUUCGUCGUUUGAUUCGUAUGAUUGAAUUUUGCAGGAUUUUUUAAGGAUUUAUUUGUACUACAUGUCACAGAAAUUCUAACAUCCACUCUAACCUCUUGAAAAUAAUUCUUCGUUUUUCCCGUGACACAAUCAAACAAACUCAAAUUCUAUAGGGAUUCAAUGGACAUUGCCAUUUUAAUCCUACGUUUUUUCUAUUCCUGUGUUUUUGCAAUCCUACGAAUUAAAAUGGCCCUUAGUGAAGUUUAAAAUUCCGUUGUUGGUCCUGGACAGUGGAAUGCGGAAGGGAAACAGAUAAAAAAAAUAGAAGAGCAAGGUUGCACCCCUGAGGUACUCACCAGCCACAGGUCGUUGCUGGUUGAUGGUUGCAAACUGCCUAAUAAGAAAUCAGAGGCGGUUUCUGUAUAACAACCACCUUGAAUGUUUCUUGCAAGCGGUUUCCUAGUUCUAACCGUCUCCGGAGCUAUCUUUUCUUUUUGAAAAAGAGGACACACCCUGUCCUCUGUAUUUGGACGAUGCAUGCAACCAUUUUAUUAAUUAUUUAUAAAUUUUUUACAAAGUAAUACAUCAGUACGUCGUACAGGCAACAUCUCACUAGUAGAAAAAGGGUCAAACGUGAAGCACAUUAGUGCCGGUUUGAAUUUGAGCCGGCACUAAUUGUACCAUUAGUGCCGGUUCGAACGGCUAUGCAUUAAUGCCGGUUCGUGUUGAACCACGAACCGGUACUAAAAGGGUGAUGGCAGGCUGGCGUCAGGCCGGGGUCCCACGAUCACCUUUAGUACCGCUUCGUGUCACAAACCGGCACUAAAGGACUAACCUUUAGUACCGGUUUGUGCCACAAACCAGUACUAAAGGGGUCUGACACAAACCGGUACUAUAGGAUAAUUUUCAAACUCUACCCCCCCACCACCGUGUGUCGCCAUUUCAGUUCUGAAAAAAUCAAAAGAAAAUGAUAAAAACUUCAAAAAAUAAAAUCCUUCGAGAGGUAGUUAUAUUACUACAUCUACCAGUUAGGAAAGUUUGAAAACUUAAAUUUGGAUAUGUUUUACAAAAAGUGUAGGGAAAAUGUAAAACGACUAUAACUUUUGCAUACGAUGUCGGAAAAAAAUGUAUAAUAUAUCAAAAAAUUCAGCACGAAAAUCCGCAUCCGAUGGAGACCGCCUACGGGCCUAUUUGCAACUUUAGAAUCCUCAAAUUCCAAAAGGAAAAAAAGAUAUGGUCAAAUUUAAGUUUUUUAAAUUUUUUUGUUAAAUCUGGUCAAACUACUUAUUUAAGAAGUAUUAAUGUUACUACAUAAUUAUUCAAGAAUAUUAGUGUUACUAAAUAAUUAUUUCAAUUUUUUGAAUUUUGGUCAAAUCUGGUCAAACUAUGGUCAAACUGUGGUCAAACUAUGGUCAAACUUAUUCAAGAAAUAUUAGUGUUACUAAAUAAUUACUGUUUUUUAGAAUAAUAGUUUCAAACUCAAACAGUGAAAUGUGUGACUUCAUGCUCAAGCUAAACUCCCGAGGGUUAAUAGGAUUGGCAUCUUACUAUUGUCAGGAAAACAACAAGUGCAGAUUUGGAAACGAAGGAGAAUAGAACCCGAAAGUUAAGCGUGCUCGGGCUGGAAUAGUAAGAGGGAUGGGUGACCGGUCGGGAAGUUAGAUGAUUUGGAAUGAGUGAUCCACACUUGAGCAGUUAAGAAAGGUGAUUAGAGACUAAAUCACCAAAUAAUUCAGAAAAAUUAAAAAUCAAAAAAAAAAUUCCAAAAUUUUCAAAAAAAAAAAUCAANNNNNNNNNNNNNNNNNNNNNNNNNNNNNNNNNNNNNNNNNNNNNNNNNNNNNNNNNNNNNNNNNNNNNNNNNNNNNNNNNNNNNNNNNNNNNNNNNNNNNNNNNNNNNNNNNNNNNNNNNNNNNNNNNNNNNNNNNNNNNNNNNNNNNNNNNNNNNNNNNNNNNNNNNNNNNNNNNNNNNNNNNNNNNNNNNNNNNNNNNNNNNNNNNNNNNNNNNNNNNNNNNNNNNNNNNNNNNNNNNNNNNNNNNNNNNNNNNNNNNNNNNNNNNNNNNNNNNGCAGAAAAAUUAAAAAUCAAAAAAAAAAUUCCAAAAUUUUCAAAAAAAAAAUUCAAAAAAACCUUUAGUACCGGUUGGUAACACCAACCGGUACUAAAGGUCCCCCAUACCAGGACGCGAGCUCACGCCACGUGGUGGCACUUUAGCGCCGGUUCGUGCCGAACCGGUACUAGGGGGGGGGGCUUUAGUGCCCACCAAUUAGUGCCGGUUAUGGAACCGGCACUAAAGGCCCUCACGAACCGGUUUUAAAGCUCCGUUUUCUACUAGUGCCUGUUGCUACUUCUAUCCCUUUGAUAGAGGGGUGUUGAAUGUCCGAAUCUAAUACCAAACAAAUGUCACACCAAAGCCUAACACCUAACGCCCAGCCUAGCCACUUACUGGGACUGGGUCACACACCGGUCCAGCGCACUCACAGUGGGCAUCACAUACGCACCCUGCAAGGCACGACACCACCAUCUUCCACCGAUCCAUCUUCAAAGCAGAAACUGACGCAUCGACUGUUUCAGGACUCUCUCUAUCGACGCCACCACGACGCCAGACAACGUUGUCCUCCUGCGCAAGUCCAUCCCCGCAUAUCGGACGCCGAAUCUACAGUGCGCCACGCCGUCGAGAUCCGUCGCCACCAAUGUGUAGGUUGAAGCACUGCUCCACCAAAGUUGCAGUCCACUAAUCCCUCGAGCUCGUGCACACCUCCAAGAACGACGCCCCCAGAGGGGAAACGACACAAGAGCGCCGCCGUCUUCCGAUCUACUGAUCUAGGGUUUCCCCCAGAGGUAGCAGAUGUUGGCCUAGAACUUCUCCACAGAGAUGCCUCCAAGAAGGGAACGACACCGAAGAGCGCCACCAUCGCCGGUCUUGGCAUCUAGCCAAGAGCAGGUUUUCACCCAGAUUUGUUCGAAAAACUCCAUCCAUCUUUUUGUGCACGGAUCGCCACCUUCUAUGCCGGGGACCAGAACAAAGGACCUAGCCGCCGCCAGACCGGCUACGGCACCACCACGGUGCCAGAGCAGCCGGUUACGUCAGGCCCAUCGCGCCAGCCUACCGCCGCGCACCAGAUCCGUCGACCCGCCUAAGCCCAUCUAGGCCCGGCGAGAUCUAGGGUUAAGGCCACCGCCACAUGGGCGCCCCCGCCGCGGGAGGCUGCGCUGCCGCUGUCGCCGCCGCCACAUCCGCCGCUGGGAUCCCGCUGCACCGCGCCAUUGAAUCACCGGAGUGUCCAUCUUGGCGACGCCAGAUGAAGACACCACUGCGUGUGAGGGAGAAGUCCCCACCGCCGCCUUCACAUCCCACGGCUCGGGCUUCGCCGGCGUGAACUCGGGCCGCGCCGCCGAAUCACCGGAGUGUCCAUCUUGGCGACGCCAAAUGAAGACACCACCGCGCGCGAGGGAGAAGUCCCCGCCGCCGCCUUCACAUCCCACGGCCCGGGCUUCGCUGGCGUGAACUCGGGCGGCAGCGGGAGGGAGAGACUGGGGCAAGGAGGUCUAGGGCGCAGCGGCGCGAUCUCCCCCGUGUCGAGGUCGGGCGUUCCUGUUUUGGCAAAUCUCCCUUUUUUAGGGGAGAAUUUCACUUUCCUGGCCUCUGCACCAACUAGAAAAUGCAUACGACCUUUUAAGUAUGAGUACUAGGAUUUUUAAACUCGGUUACACAUCGAGCCUAGUCCUCAAUAAAUGCGUGAGUACCUAAAAAACCCGGUCCUUAAGAAUAAACCCAAAAUCUCAAAAGUGGACGCGCACUUUUUUGCGAGCGAUUUCAAUCACACACGUGCAUCCCCACUCCAGAUGUCAUCUGGUCAGGAGCCCACCCACCGUCAUCCCACUCCAGCCUGCCGGCCUAGCCCACCAUCCACCCUGUUGUCUCUCGCUUUCUCGCAUCUCCCCAAAUUCAUCUGGAUCCAGUCGCCGUCGGCUCCUCCGAGCGUGGCCCUCACCGGAUCCGCAUGACCGCAUCCACAAGCCGGCCUCCUCCUCUGGCUCGACCCCGAGAUCCCCCACCUGGAACCUUCCCGGCGACGGUGCAGUCCAGGCCGCCGUGGAGCCAUGGAUCCAGGCCAUGGCCCUCCCUGCUCGUCCCUCCAUCCCCUCUACGACGGUGAAGACGAGGCCAUAGCACUCGCCUCCCCCAUGAGCUCCAGGCAUGAGGUCCAAGACCCGCCUCAUCCAGAUCGGGCCGCGGUGUCGCGCCACCACCACGUGAACCCAGCUGCCUCCUCCGCCAUUGACAACAUCCACACGGACGACCAUGCACCACCAACACCACCACCUCUCCCCCCGUCACUCGGCUACAUGGAGGACGUGUAGGUGUUCCCUGCGGCCUCUCCUCUCUCUGUCUCUCCAUAGUUGCAAUGGAUGCAUGCAAAAAAAUUUGAGAAAAUUCCUUAUUUGACACUAUCUUAAAAUCUGCUUCCUUAUUUGACACUGGAAAAGUUUUUCUUCUUUAUUUGACACAAGUUCUAAAUUUUAUUUCCUAUAUGACAUUUUCGUCCAUUUUAAGCCUAAAUGACACCUGAAAAGACUCUUUUGCCCCUCAUGUGGUAUGUGUGUGGGGGGCAAUAGCGCACACACGCAGCAUCAGUGCGAAAGCAGAAGCACACACGCAUCAACACAUACACAUGCACCAACACACACGCACGCGCACACACGCGCACGCGCGCGUGCACACACACACACACACGCACACACACACGCACACGCAGCAACACACACGCACGCAGCACACACCCACAUACACACACACAUGCAGCAGCACACACGCAGGCAACACAUAGGCACGCAACAACACACACACACACGCACGUACACACGCAGUAGCAAACACACACGCAGCAGCACACAUGCACACACACAUGCAACAGCAGCACACAUGUGCGCCUGCACCCACACACGCAACAGCACACGCACGCGCGCACACAUACCACAUGAGGGGCAAAAUCGUCUUUUCAGGUGUCAUUUAGACUCAAAAUGAACGGAAGUGUCGUAUAGGGAAUAAAAUUUAGGACUAGUGUCAAAUAGGAAAGAAAAACUUUUCCAGUGUCAAAUAAGGAACCAGAUUUUAAGACAGUGUCAAAUAAGGAAUUUUCUCAAAAAAAUUAAGAACAAGUAUGAGCUAGCUAAGGGAACAACAGAAUCCAGCACCAGAUCACCUGAUGCAGCAAUUCAGGAACAUCAUUUGCUUUUUUGUUUCUGGUAUUUGAUCUUAUGCAUUUAUACCUGACAUGGGUGUUCCUUCCAUUGCAAUGACGGGAUUAGUCUGCAUUUCGUACAUCAAUUUCUAGUUUGAGUUGCUAUGGUCGACCAGAGUUAGGUGUACAAAUUUGUUGUCUGACUUGUAAUGUGUAACUAUCUCACAAUGAUCAAUUCAUAAUGUGGUUCGUGUUAACUAGUAGCAUAAGCUUAUCAGGAUCAUUAUUCUGUGUUGUAUCAGGAUCAUCAUUUUGUGUUGUAUCAGGGUCAAUGACCAAUCUGGACGGUCUCUUUUCAGAUGGUAAUUGAACGCGGAGAAGGGAGAUACUAGCAUGCUUUGCGUUCGUCAAUCUGGACGGUCUUUCAGGUGGUGUUUGAACGCAGGGACGGAAAUACUAGCAAGCUGAUGAUGAUGAUUUUUACACACAUGCCUUGUACAAGCUCAUGGCAGCUCCGUGCGGCUGUGAUUCAACUUGGCCUUGUACGAACUCAUGGCAGCUCCGCGCGGCUGUGAUUCAACUUGGCCUUGUACGAGCUCAUGGCAGCUUCCCGUCAAUAUCUGGUAUGUCAUGUCGGGGAACGCAAGUUGUUUUUUCUGCUGCCGCUCAAGUUGCACAGGCACUUGUAUCAGUACGCAUUUCUGAUACAGCUUAAUCUUAUCUCUGUAGCACACUCGCUAGAGGUCCGUUGAUUUGGAUGAAAUUGGGUGUCCUACAUUCUGCUACUUUUGUGCUAUGCUUGUUGCCUCUGUAUGCUUCAGGUAUAGAAAAUCCUAUCCACUUUCAUGAAGAUACAAAGACUAGAUGACAUUUUUGUUUAAGCCUUGUGUUAAGUUGAUCUAUUUUUGCUAUUCAUAUUUUUUGUUGGCAUGUGUAGCAGUUGUAGUUGCACACAUAAUAGUUCUCAGUUGGAUAUGACCAUCAAGCAGUUACACAAGAUAACGAUACUAAAUUGGCUAGAUGAACCUAGCUCUCACAUUGCUUACUUCAAUUUAGCUAGACGCGGGUCAUUGUAAGCUCGACCAACUACUAUUUGUAAACUAGAAGCAUGCAUACUCUCGUCCGCAUAUGUACAGUACUUUCAGCAUCUUGCUCAAGGAGCUAUGGUGAUUAGGAUUAGUGGUGGGUUUGCAUAGUGAUUAGGGUUUGAGUUGGAUUUUCGCGGCGGGUUGUUCUAAUUUCACAACUAUUGGUAUGGUUCAACAUCCUAUCUUGAUCCAUCUAUUUUUGCCUAGACUACAUUUGUCUCGUUAAACAUGAUACUCUCUCUAGAGCUUCAUUACAUUAUGUACCUCUUUUUUUCUCUUAUAAAUGCAUCUGCGUGGUUUCUGUGUUUUCUCGUAAGUUGCCGCAUGUAAGUAACUAGUUGGCUAGUUUGUUGUAAUAGUUGCACAGGAACGCAAACGGUAGUUGGAUGACUCAUAUACAUAUCUCAGUUGGCUAGACAACUUAUGAAGUUGCACACUAAGGGCUAACCAGUUGCAUAAUCGAUGAUAUUUAGACUUGGGAAAUUUACUUGCAAUGUUGAUUCAACUUGGGUUUCUAUGGCAGCUGAAGUAGAAUAUGCAAAUUUUGUAGCUUAACAGUUGUGAUCUUAUCUUACCAGAUAUUGAUGGGAGCAAUCGGACUUUUGAUGUCUGUGCAGUUUAUCUAUGUUAUCGAUAAUUUUUCAUUCAGUCAUCUAAUCCACCUCCACUUAUGCGUGUAUAGUCUGCUACCUUACCCAAAUAAUAUAGUACUGAAAUAUUAACAACAUUUUCGUUCUCACAGAUUGUUAACUCAGCCCCUUCUAGGUAUUUUUCUAGGAAAAACAGUCAAAUUCAUUUGUAUAGAUGCAUCACUUUUGUGAUCCUGCUAGUCAAUCUCUGGUAUGAUGCUUGGAUUUUUGAUGAUUGGAGUGUUGAUCUGUACAAGAGUCUUUUAGAAUUGUGAUCUUCAAGUUUUUUAGAAUUGUCCCAAGAGUAUGUAACGACUUGGCAUCCUCAGGCUUUCUAGUUGCAGAAUAGUAUCUAAUUAGUUGGCAACCUCAGUAAUUCUAGUUUCACAACAAUAUACAACUAGUUGACAUCCUCAGCUUCUCUAGUUGCACAAGAACUCAGAUUAGUCCCAUUUUAAAAAAAUUGAGAAUUGCCCAAGAGUAUGUAACGACUUGGCAUCCUCGGGCUUUCUAGUUGCAGAAUAGUAUCUAAUUAGUUGGCAACCUCAGUAAUUCUAGUUGCACAACAAUAUACAACUAGUUGACAUCCUCAGCUUCUCUAGUUGCACAAGAACUCAGAUUAGUCCCAUCUAAAAAUAAUUGAGGAUUGCCCGAGAGUAUCUAACGACUUGGCACCCUCAGGCUUUCUAGUUGUAGAAGAGUGUCUAUUUAGUUGGCACCCUCAGCAAUUCUAGUUGGAUAACAUUAUCCAAGUAGUUGACAUCCUCAGCCUCUCUAGUUGCACAAGAACUCAGAUUAAUCACAUAAAAAAAUUUGAGGAUUUCCCAACAGUAUCUAACGACUUGGCAUCCUUAGGUUUUCUAGUUGCAGAAUAGUAUCUAUUUAGUUGGCACCCUCAACAAUUCUAGUUGGACAACAUUAUCCAAGUAGUAGACAUCCUCAGCCUCUCUAGUUGCACAAGAAUUCAGAUUAAUUCCAUCUUAAAAAAUUUGAGGGAUUGUCCAACAGUAUCUAAUGAUUUGGCACCCUCAGGUUUUCUAAUUGCAGAAGAGUAUCUCUUUAGUUGGCACCGUCUGCAAUUCUAGUUGGACAACAUUAUCCAAGUAGUUGACAUCCUCAGCCUCUCUAGUUGCACAAGAAUAUCUCAUUAGUUUGCAUCAUCAGCAUUUCUAGUCGCACAAGAAUAUCUCAUUAGUUGGCAUCAUCAACAUUAUCUAACAGUAUCUCAUUUUCUAGUUGUAUUUUUAAAAAUAUCAAAUGAAGGGGAAUCACCAGCCUUUUUUAGUUGGCAUGGUUAGUUAUAUACUUGCACAAGUUUUCACUCAACUGUUCUUUUUUUUUUUCUACACCCAGGAUGUCAACGCAGAAGUUGAGAUGAAUGAAGGAGAGAAUCCAGACUGCCCGUCACAGGCUGGUAGGAUAAGGGCGUCCCCAGGGAGAUUUGUCAAGUUGAAUAAAGAACUGACUCCAAUGCAAGGAGCAGAUUUGUGUGAGAGGCUAUUCGGGGGGUCUUCCGAACGUAGCUGAGACGCUGCCUACGGAGCUGACCAAGUACCUAGUGCAGUGUUACAAACCAGAAACUUCAGAAACCACAGCCGUCACAGUUGCACAUGUUUGCUAGUAUAGUUGGUACAUCAAGGCUUCUCUAGUUGCACAUAGUAUGCAAAAGUUGGCACAUGAAGGUUUUCACCUAGUUCCACAUGUUUUUGUUGGUUUUAUGGUCCAUCAAUCUUCUGUCUUUUUCACCCCCCGGAAUUGCACAUACUAUGCAAAAGAUGGUACAUGAGUUCAUACGUAACACAUAGUAAAGGGGGGCUUGUUGGCUUCAGUGCCUGGGGAUUUUUUUUUGCUGGUAACAAGAUCUCCACAAGGAGGUUGAGAGAACAGCAGGUAGGGAGGUUCAACAUGCAUAGAGGGGAAGGGUAGAGAUAUGAGAAGGGGAAACUCACAUGUUUUUGUUGCAGUUUUUUCCCUUCAUUUCCUCAGUUUGGAUCUUUGCUUCUUCUCCUUGCCAUGGCGAUCUAGGGUUUUUCCUGAGCAGACAACCAUUUUUCGUGGGUAAGAAGAUCUUUGGGGAAGGAGGAAAGGACAGGAGAGGAGAGGAGAGAGAGCUUUUGUAGCGCUGGGGUGGAGGCGUGAUCGGUUGGCGGAGCUGGCCGCUCCAGGACGCCCGCCUGGUGCGCGUCAGGGUGUGGGGGACCGGCGGUUUCCUUUUUGGUACGGGGGACCAAAAUUUUCCUUUUUUUGCCGGCCGCUCGGGAUCCCUUGCGAGCCAAUGGGCGCACGCUAGACCCAUCCAAGAAUAAAUAUGAAUCUAAAUUUGCUUCCGUGAGAAUUUGAACCUAGGUGUUGCGGUUUGUACUUCCACUCCCCCAACCAAUUGAGCUAGGCUCACUCCCUAUAUAUAACAAUAAUAACUGCACUAUAGGAAUAUCAUAUGUGACUUUGUUCAGCUUGGUUACAACUGCUCCCGGAAGCUGUCGCUAAUGCGAGUUUUUCUACUAGUGUUUUCUUGUUUGAUGUGGUGGAUUCACCCAAAAGCCAUUAGAACAUUAUCAGUAAUCAUCCUGCUAUGAACAAAUGCACUUUGCUCUGGUGAUACGAGGUCAUCAAGCAAAUAUCUCAUUCUAUUAACCAAGCAUUUAGGUAUAACCUUGAGAAUUACAUUUACAUAAGCUUAUCGGCCUAUAAUCAGACACCCUAGUUGGGCUAGGAAUCUUAGGAAUAAGAACGAUGGCAGCAAAGUUCACCCCGGGCGGCGGGUAAUCAGGUGCAACGUCGACCCGUUCUGGAUGUUGAAGUCCGCCAGGGCGCACUGCUCCUCCAGGUGCUUUGCCUCGAAGAUGAACCGCUGAUGGUGCGGAGGGAAGCCCUCCUUGGCCUGGAUCAUGGCCUUGACGUCGCGGAUGGUGUCGCGGCUCUCCACCUCCAGCGGGAUCGUCUUCCCGGUGAGGGUCUUGACGAAAAUCUGCACCUUUUCUUUUCUUCUCUUCGCCGAUUGAUCAACUGCUCCCUCGCUUGUUCGAUAUAUAGCGAACGGACCAGAAACGCAGCCGCUAGGGAAGAUGUCCGACCCGCGGAGUGGAGUUCUCCUCCACGACAGCCUAGCUAAACCGAAUUGGAGUAGUUUUCUCUUCUUCUUCUUUUUUUCUUUUGAGAAGAAACGUGGAGUAGUUUUCUCGAGGAAGGAAAGGGAACCGCCGGGCCUUGCCAUCCGAGUAUGCUUGAACUGGGCUGUAGCCCGUAAGAUUAGUUAGUCUUAUUUGGAGCGUGCGGUGGCCCAGGAGAAAGUGUGGUCGGACUUAAUUUCUUGGAUUGUCUCAAUUUUUUUUCUUGGAAGCAUUUCAGGCAUGUGGGAAGCUGAGCUAAGACAAACCUACUGCAACAUCGCGUAAAAUAAUUGAUUCUGACUCAAAGCAACUCAGAUUUUCCAGAAAAAAAAAUUAGGUACCUACACUUGUGUGCAAACUUUGCCAACAAAGAUUCUAACCUAAUUGCCGCAUUUGACCAUUUUGUUCAUCGUCACAAACGGAGCAAACCCUCUAAUACAUAAGAAGCGAUUUCAACAUGAUAUCCCCCAUUGAAAAGAUUUCUGCAACAUGAGCUAUAUUACAAAUAUUUCUAUGUUCGGCAGAGAAUGGUUGGACGGGAGUGCAACACGAGCCAGGUUGCAAAUAGUUAUGGCUACAAAUAAAGAGACCGGACGGCUAUCAUGUACACUAGUCAACGACAUCGGAGGUGGCCGAUCCAAUCUUUUAAUCAUCUGGCCAACGCGUAGCACACCAUAUAAAACAAGCAAUAAACAAUCAAUUGUUGUAUUUGGACGGCUAUUAGGUUUCUGAAAAAUAGUCAAAUUAUUAAGAAAACAAUAAGAAAUACAAUUCUGCUACACCUAAAGACAUCAACGUAGGAGAUCUUUUUAUAUCCCUUUGUAAUAAAGGGUAGGAUUGUCUUUCUAAAAGUUCGUCGCCUGCCAGAAUAUACAUACUCAACCCCGCUCCCCCCCUCCCUCUGCAUUGGGCCGACCCAUUUUGUAUUUUCCUUUUCUAUUAACCUGCAAAAAAGUGUGCGGGACAUGAUUCAAACCUGUAACAUCCACAUGAAGUGUACGGCGCAGUAGCCAACCAGACAAGGAUAUCAUGGGUUUACCUUUUUCUUCUUUUCUUUUUUCUUCUGUUCGUGUCCCACCGAACAAGGAAGUCGUGGGUUUACUUUUUUCUUUCUGGUUUCAUUUGGCCAAGGUCGCGGGUUUACUUUUUUUUUUAUUCGGUCAACUGUGCCAUCCUGACAGAUGCAGACUGUUCCUCCUCGAGCGGGCCACGACGGCCGGCACCUUCCCUGUACCGAAAAUUCUUCAAGGUGCUAGCAAUCGUCGUCGAGAGCUACCGAGACAAAGAGCAUGACUGGGUGCUUCUGGUGGCCUCAUCACAAUUUUGAAUGAACAACUUUUCACAGGACAUACUAUCCUCAAAAAUGAUUUCUCUUUAUCCAUUGAGUUUACCUCUAAACUUAAUGAGAAUAAAUGGAUUCUCACCAACAUUUAUGGACCAUGUCAGCCAGAUAAAAGAGUGGUUUUUCUUAAUUGGUUUCAAAAUUUCCAGAUAGAAGAUGAUAUGGACUGGCUUGUAGUGGGAGAUUUCAAUUAUAUGAGGUAUCCACCUAACAGAAAUAAAGGGGGUGGCAAUUUUCAGGAUAUGUUGCAGUUCAACGAUGCAAUCAGUCAGUUAGCAUUGGUUGAGAUCCCUCUUAAAGGCAGAGAGUUCAUUUGGAGCAAUAUGCAAGAUGAUCCCCUCUUGGAGAAAAUUGACUGGGUUUUCACUUCUGAAUCCUGAGCACUUUCUUACCCUGACACUGUGCCACUGCUCUGGCCAAAACAACUUCAGAUCACACACCCUGUGUCAUCAAGAUCGGGACCACUAUUCCCAAAUCCAAGAUUUUUAGGUUUGAGAACUUCUGGUUGGAACAUUCAGAUUUCAAAAAUGUGGUCAAAGGCAUUUGGGAACAACCUAUCCAAGAGAUUGACAGUGCAAAGACUAUUGCUGCUAAAUUUAAAAGGCUUAGGAAAGGGCUCAAAAUUUGGUCCAGAGGUCUUUCAGAUCUCAAAACCACCAUCAGUAACACUAAUGCUGUGAUAUUGCUAUUUAAUCACCUUGAGGAAUACAAAGAUCUCUCAGAUGAGGAAAAAAGGGGCAGGGAUAUUUUGAAAUCACACCUUGAGCAAACUUUGCACUUUCAUAGAAUCUAUUGGAAACAAAGAGCUACUAUUAGAAACAUUCAGUUUGGGGAAGCAAACACCAAGUUCUUUCAAGCCAAAGCUACUAUUAAGCACAUGAAUAACUUCAUUGCUGUCCUUUUAGAACAAGCUGGCAUAGAAGUGCAUGACCAUCAAGCCAAGGCUGCUGUUCUUUAUAGAGCUUUCAAAAACAGAUUGGGCACUUCAACAGAUGCAGUAAACCCACUACAUCUUCAUCACCUGGUUCCUCAAAUUCAAAACAUGCAAAAUCUAGAAUCACCUUUUACCACUUCAGAAAUUGAUGAUGUGGCUAAAAAGUUACCUGCAGAUAAAUCACCAGGCCCUGAUGGUUUCAAUGCUGCUUUUCUGCAACGCUGUUGGGACAUAGUGGCUCCAGAUUUUUAUAGGCUUAUAUUUGAUUUCUUUGAAGGGAAAGCAAAAAUUCAGAGUAUUAAUUACUCCUUCAUCACUUUGAUCCAAAAAAAGAAGCUGCCACAACACCUGGAGAUUUCAGACCCAUCUCUCUGCUCAAUUGUACUAUAAAGAUCAUCACCAAGCUAUUGGCAAACAAACUAUAGAAGUUAAUGCUGAAGAUGGUUCAUGAAAACCAGUAUGGAUUUCUCAACAAUAGAUGCAUUCAAAAUUGUCUUGCCUGGGCUUAUGAAUACAUACACCAAUGCCAUCAGUCCAAACAUGGGAUUGUGCUUUUAAAGUUGGAUUUUGAAAAGGAUUUUGACCUCCUGAAUCACAACACUAUAUUUGACAUUCUUCUAGCAAGAGGUUUUGGCAGCAAAUGGAUCAACUGGAUCAAGCAAAUCUAUACCACUGGUUUCUCUGCAGUGCUUCUUAAUGGGGUGCCAGGCAAGCAAUUCCUCUGUAAGCAAGGUGUUAGACAAGGAGAUCCCCUGUCACCUCUUAUUUUUGUGCGGGUUGCAGAUUUAUUACAAUCCAUGUUGAAUGAAGUUUUAGCACAUCAGCUUAUUGAAGCUCCCCUUCAGCACCAAUCUUGCACCACCUUCCCUGUGAUUCAAUAUGUAGAUGAUACUCUCCUUGUCCUACCUGCCUCAUGAUACGUCUCCAACGUAUCUAUAAUUUUUGAUUGUUCCAUGUUAUUAUAUUAUCUAUUUUGGAUGUUUAAUGGGCAUUAAGAUGCUCCUUUAUAUUAUUUUUGGGACUAACCUAUUAAUAGAAGGCCCAGUGCCAGUUUCUGUUUUUUUUCCUAUUUCAGUGUUUUGUAGAAAAGGAAUACCAAACGGAAUCCAAACGGAAUGAAACCUUCGCGAUGAUCUUUCUUGGAACGAAAGCAAUCCAGAAGACUUGGAGUUGAAGUCUGGAACUCCGCGAGGAGGCCAUGAGGCAGGAGGGUGCGCCCCCACCCUCGUGGGCCCCAUGGAGCUCCACCGACGUACUUAUUUCGCCUAUAUAUACUCUUAUACCCUAAAAACAUCAGGGGGGGCAAUGAAACCACUUUUCCACCGCCGCAACCUUCUGUACUCGUGAGAUCCCAUCUUGGGGCCUUUUCCGGUGAUCUGCCGGAGGGGGAAUCGAUCACGAAGGGCUUCUACAGCAACACCAUAGCCUCUCCGAUGAUGUGUGAUUAGUUUACCACAGACCCUCGGGUCCAUAGUUAUUAGCUAGAUGGCUUCUUCUCUCUAUUUGAUUCUCAAUACAAAGUUCUCCUUGAUGUUCUUGGAGAUUUAUUCGAUGUAAUACUCUUUUGCGGUGUGUUUGCCAAGAUCCGAUGAAUUUUGGAUUUAUGAUCAAGUUUAUCUAUGAAUAAUAUUUGGUUCUUCUUUGAAUUCUUAUAUGCAUAAUUUGAUAUCUUUGCAAGUCUCUUCGAAUUAUUGGUUUAGUUUGGCCUACUAGAUUGAUCUUUCUUGCAAUGGGAGAAGUGCUUAGCUUUGGGUUCAAUCUUGCGGUGUCCUUUUCCAGUGACAGUAGGGGCAGCAAGGCACGUAUUGUAUUGUUGCCAUCAAGGAUAAAAAUAUGGGGUUUAUAUCAUAUUUCUUGAGUUUAUCCCUCUACAUCAUGUCAUCUUGCUUAAUGCAUUACUCUGUUCUUAUGAACUUAAUACUCUAGAUGCAUGCCGGAUAGCGGUCGAUGUGUGGAGUAAUAGUAGUAGAUGCAGAACUGUUUCGGUCUACUUGACACGGACGUGAUGCCUAUAUUCAUGAUCAUUGCCUAGAUAUUCUCAUAACUAUGCACUCUUCUAUAAAUUGCUCGACAGCAAUUUGUUCACCCACCAUAAUAAAUGCUAUCUUGAGAGAAGUCACUAGUGAAACCUAUGGCCCCCGGGUCUAUUUUCCAUCAUAUAAGUUUCCGAUUUACAAUUCUAGUUUCCUAUUUAUUUUAUUUUGCAAUCUUUACUUUCCAAUCUAUAUAACAACAAUACCAAAAAUAUUUAUCUUAUUAUCUUUAUUAGAUCUCACUUUUGCGAGCGACCGUGAAGGGAUUGACAACCCCUUUAUCGCGUUGGUUGCAAGGUUCUUGAUUGUUUGUGCAGGUACUAAGUGACUUGCAUGUUAUCUCCUACUAGAUUGAUACCUUGGUUCUAAAAAACUAAGGGAAAUACUUACGCUACUUUGGCAUCACCCUUUCCACUUCAAGAGAAAACCAACGCAUGCUCAAGAGGUAGCAAGAAGGAUUUCUGGCCCCGUUGCCGGGAGAUCUACGCUUAAGUCAAGACAUACCAAGUACCCAUCAUAAACUCUUCUCCGUCGCAUUACAUUAUUUGCCAUUCGCCUCUCGUUUUCCUCUCCCCCACUUCUAAAACGAUCUUCAAAGACCUUUGCCUUUUCUUUGCCCCUUUUCCGCCCGCCUCUUUUCGUUUGCCUCUUGUGUGUUCGUUCUUAGUGCAGUUUGUUGCCAUCAUGUCUGAAACUGGGGAGGUUAUCAUUGAAAAGGAUAAUCGUAACAAUGGGGGAAACUUUGAUGCGUUUGAUAAUCCUCAUGAAGAACCUACUAUUUUACACACUAAAAAGUUUCUGAUUGGUAGUGGUAAUAUUAUUGGAAAAUGAGUUAUUCAAGAUUUCUGCACUGUGUCGGUGCUCUGCCUACUAUGGGUGGGUCUAUUCUCCAUAGAACUAGUAGUCUUGCGGAUGCUAUAUCUUUGCUCGUAGUUGAACUUGAAAGACAAUUUAUUCAUAUGCACCCUUGCAUACAAAGGAUUUUUCUAUAAUUUUACAAUAUUGAGCAUUCUUCUGUUAAGCGAGCAGCUACUAAAUUUUUAGCACAUGAGUUCAGAUUUAUAAUGAAAGAGGCCAAUGAAUUUUUUGCGCAUUAUAGGGUGGAUGCUGGCCGUUCUCGCAUAGAAGCUAUUCUUUUUAAUCAAGAAGACAUAAUGCAUUUACGAUCUUUAGAUCAUGUUGCUUAUAAUGAAAACCUUAGAAAGAAGGUUCCUACCGAUGUUCUAGUUGUUAGGAUUUCUGAACUUAAUGAUAAUUUUGCUACUCAGAACAAUCGGUUAGGUUUUUCUCUUCAACAAAGGCUCAUGACUUUUUGCCAAAAGAAUGCUUAUAAUGAUGAAUUGGUUGUGCAAUAUGAGGGGCCAAAGGAGGAACCAAUACCUCCCGAGCUUGAUCUUGGGGACUUUUGUCCCAUUAAAUUUAGCCCCUUUGAUUACUUUUGCCUGCCGCAAAGAAAGCUUGCUGCUGAAUGUAGGGAGUAUGAGAUGAGUUAUCACGAUUUGCCUUAUCAUUAUGGUAAUACCUAGAUCAUUAUGGUAAUACCUAGAUCUAUUCUUGCUUUAUGCCUAGCUAGGGGCGUUAAACGAUAGCGCUUGUUGGGAGGCAACCCAAUUUUAUUUUUGUUUUUUCCUUUUUGUUCCUGUUUAGUAAUAAAUAAUUCAUCUAGCCUCUAUUAUGAUUGUGUUUUUAUGUUUAAUUAGUGUUUGUUCCAAGUAAAGCCUUUAGGAUCUUCUUGGGUGAUUGUUGUUUGAUCUUGCUGAUAAAAGAAAAGUAUGCGCUCACGAAAAUAAUUAUCAUUUUUUUACCAGAGAGCGAUAAAAUACUAAUUCCAACUGCAAUAUAUCAAUAUACUUUUUAUCCUAGUCGCCCUAAUUUUUCAGAAUUUUUGGAGUGACCGAAGUAUUCGAAACAUCCAGAUUGCUACAAAUUGUUCUGUUUUGACAGAUUCUAUUUUUCGUGUGUUGUUUGCUUAUUUUGAUGAAUCUAUGAGUAGUAUCGGGGGGUAUGAGCCAUAGAUAAGUUGUAAUACAGUAGGUUUAACACCAAUAAAGAUAAAGAAUGAGUUCAUUACAAUACCUUAAAGUGGUGGUUUGUUUUCUUAUACUAAUGGAGCUCAUGAGAUUUUCUGUUAAGUUUUGUGUUGUGAAGUUUUCAAGUUUUGGGUAAAGAUUUGAUGGAUUUUCAAAUAAGGAGUGGCAAGAGCCUAAGCUUGGGGAUGCCCAAGGCACCGCAAGGUAAAAUUCAAGGACAACCAAAAGCCUAAGCUUGGGGAUGCCCCGGAAGGCAUCCCCUCUUUCGUCUUCAUCUAUCGGUAACUUUACUUGAGGCUAUAUUUUUAUUCACCACAUGAUAUGUGUUUUUCUUGGAGCGUCUUGUAUGAUUUGAGUCUUUGCUUUUUAGUUUACCACAAUCAUCCUUGAUGUACACACCUUUUGUGAGAGACACACAUGAAUCGGAAUUUAUUAGAAUACUCUAUGUGCUUCACUUAUAUCUUUUGAGCUAGAUAAUUUUGCUCUAGUGCUUCACUUAUAUCUUUUUAGAGCACGGUGGUGGUUUUAUUUUAUAGAAAUUAUUGAUAUCUCAUGCUUCACUUAUAUUAUUUUGAGAGUCUUUUAGAACAGCACGGUAAUUUUCUUUGGUUAUAAAAUUAGUCCUAAUAUGAUGGGCAUUCAAGUUGGGUAUAAUAGAAACUUUCAUAUAGAGUGCAUUGAAUACUAUGAGAAGUUUGAUACUUGAUGAUUAUUUUGAGAUAUGAAGAUGAUGAUAUUAGAGUCGUGCUAGUUGAGUAAUUGUGAACUUGAGAAAUACUUGUGUUGAGGUUUGCAAGUCCCGUAGCAUGCACGUAUGGUAACCGCUGUGUGACAAAGUUGAGGCAUGAGGUGUUUCUUUGAUUACCUUCCUUAUGAAUGGCGUCCGGGGACGAGCGAUGGUCUUUUCCUACCAAUCUAUCCCCCUAGGAGCAUGAGCGUAGUGCUUGGUUUUGAUGACUUAUAUAUUUUUGCAAUAAGUAUGUGAGUUCUUUAUGACUAAUGUUGAGUCCAUGGAUUAUACGCACUCUCACCCUUCCACCAUUGUUAGCCUCUCUUGUGUCGCGCAACUUUCGCUGGUACCAUAAGCCCAUCAUUUACCUUCCUUAAAACAUCCACCAUACCUACCUAUUAUGGAAUUUCCAUAGCCAUUCCGAGAUAUAUUGCCAUGCAACUUUCCACCAUUCCGUUUAUUAUGACACGCUUCAUCAUAGUCAUAUUGCUUUGCAUGAUCAUGUAGUUGACAUCGUAUUUGUGGCAAGGCCACCAUUCAUAAUUUUUCAUACAUGUCACUCUUGAUUCAUUGCACAUCCCGGUACACCGCCGGAGGCAUUCACAUAGAGUCAUAUUUUGUUCUAAGUAUCGAGUUAUAAUUCUUGAGUUGUAAGUAAAUAAAAGUGUGAUGAUCUUCACUAUUAGAGCAUUGUCCUAUAAAAGAAAAAAGAGGCCAUAAAAAGAUAAGUCCCAAAAAUAAAUAAAUAAAUAAAAUGAGAGAAAAAGAGAGAAGGGACAAUGUUACUAUCCUUUUUCCACACUUGUGCUUCAAAGUAGCACCAUGAUCUUCAUGAUAGAGAGUCUCUUAUGCUGUCACUUUCAUAUACUACUGGGAAUUUUUCAUUAUAGAACUUGGCUUGUAUAUUCCAAUGAUGGGCUUCCUCAAAUUGCCCUAGGUCUUCGCAAGCAAGCAAGUUGGAUGCACACCCACUUAGUUUCUUUUGUUGAGCUUUCAUACACUUAUACCUCUAGUGCAUCCGUUGCAUGGCAAUCCCUACUCACUCACAUUGAUAUCUAUUAAUGGGCAUCUCCAUAACCCACUAAUACACCUAGUUGAUGUAAGACUAUCUUCCCCUUUUUGUCUUCUCCACAACCACCAUUCUAUUCCACCUAUAGUGCUAUUUCCAUGGCUUAGGGUCAUAUAUUGCGUGAAAGUUGAAAAAGUUUGAGAAUACUAAAGUAUGAAACAAUUGCUUGGCUUGUCAUCGGGGUUGUGCAUAAUUGGAGCAUUUUGUGUGACGAAAAUGAAGCAUAGCCAAACUACAUGAUUUUUGUAGGGAUGUGCUUUCUUUGGCUAUGUUAUUUUGAGAAGACAUAAUUUCUUGGUUAGUAUGCUUGAAGUAUUAUUAUUUUUAUGUCAAUAUUAAACUUUUGUCAUGAAUCUUUCGGAUAUGUACAUUCAUGCCACAAUAAAGAAAAUUACGAGAAAUAUGUUAGGUAGCAUUCCACAUCAAAAAUUCUGUUUUUAUCAUUUACCUACCCGAGGACGAGCAAGAGUUAAUCUUGGGGAUGCUUGAUACGUCUCCAACAUAUCUAUAAUUUUUGAUUGUUCCAUGCUAUUAUAUUAUCUGUUUUGGAUGUUUAAUGGGCUUUAAUAUGCUCUUUUAUAUUAUUUUUGGGACUAACCUAUUAACCGAAGGCCCAGUGCCAGUUUCUGUUUUUUGCCUAUUUCAGUGUUAUGCAGAAAAGGAAUACCAAACGGAAUGAAACCUUCGCGAUGAUCUUUCUUGCAACGAAAGCAAUCUAGAAGACUUGGAGUUGAAGUAUGGAACUCCGCGAGGAGGCCAUGGGGCAGGAGGGCACGCCCAGGGGGGUACGCGCGCCCCACCUCAUGGCCCCCAUGGAGCUCCACCGACGUAUUUCUUUUGCCUAUAUAUACUCUUAUACCCUAAAAACAUUAGGGGGAGCCAUGAAACCACUUUUCCACCGCCGCAACCUUCUGUACCCGUGAGAUCCCAUCUUGGGGCCUUUUCCGGUGAUCUGCCGGAGGGGAAUCAAUCACGAAGGGCUUCUACAUCAACACCAUAGCUUCUCCGUUGAUGUGUGAGUAGUUUACCACAGACCUUCAGAUCCAUAGUUAUUAGCUAGAUGGCUUCUUCUCUCUCUUUGAUUCUCAAUACAAAGUUCUCCUCGAUGUUCUUGGAGAUCUAUUCGAUGUAAUACUCUUUUGUGGUGUGUUUGCUGAGAUCCAAUGAAUUGUGGAUUUAUGAUCAAGUUUAUCUAUGAAUAAUAUUUGGUUCUUCUCUGAAUUCUUAUAUGCAUGAUUUGAUAUCUUUGCAAGUCUCUUCAAAUUAUUGGUUUAGUUUGGCCUACUAGAUUGAUCUUUCUUGCAAUGGGAGAGGUGCUUAGCUUUGGGUUCAAUCUUGCGGUGUCCUUUCCCAGUGACAGUAGGGCCAGCAAGGCACGUAUUGUAUUGUUCCCAUCGAGGAUAAAAAGACGGGGUUUAUAUCAUAUUGCUUGAGUUUAUCCCUCUACAUCAUGUCAUCUUGCUUAAUGCAUUACUCUGUUCUUAUGAACUUAAUACUCUAGAUGCAUGCUGGAUAGCGGUCGAUGUGUGGAGUAAUAAUAGUAGAUGCAGAACUGUUUCGGUCUACUUGACAUGGACGUGAUGCCUAUAUUCAUGAUCAUUGCCUAGAUAUUCUCAUAACUAUGUGCUCUUCUAUCAAUUGCUCGGCAGUAAUUUGUUCUCCCACCGUAAUAUAUGCUAUCUUGAGAGAAGCCACUAGUGAAACCUAUGGCUCCCGGGUCUAUUUUCCAUCAUAUAAGUUACCGAUUUACAAUUCUAGUUUCCUAUUUAUUUUAUUUUGCAAUCUUUACUUUCCAAUCUAUACAACAAAAAUACAAAAAAUAUUUUCUUAUUGUCUUUAUUAGAUCUCACUUUUGUGAGUGACCGUGAAGGGAUUGACAACCCCUUUAUCGAGUUGGUUGCAAGGUUCUUGAUUGUUUGUGCAGGUACUAGGUGACUUGCGUGUUAUCUCCUACUAGAUUGAUACCCUAGUUCUCAAAAACUGAGGGAAAUACUUACGCUACUUUGUUGCAUCACCCUUUCCUCUUCAAGGGAAAACCAACGCAUGCUCAAGAGGUAGCACCUCAUCUGUUCAGUUACAGCAUGUUAAGAAAAUUUGGGUGAUGCAGGAGCUCUCUAUUCUAUUGGGCUGCCAAAUUGGUCAUUUCCCUCUACCUUAUUUGGGGCUGCCUUUGGGUUUAGCUAAACCUAGAGUAGAAGAUUUCUCCCCACUACUCAAAAGAAUUGCUUCCAGGCUGUCAGGUUGCAACACCCUGUUAUCCACUAGAGACAAGCUCACCUUGGUCAAAUUUGUCUUCUCAAGUAGGCCUACCUUCUUCAUGUCCACACUGAUGAUACCCAAAUUAGUAAUCACUGUCGGUGUCAAAGCCGGCGGAUCUCGGGUAGGGGGUCCCGAACUAUGCGUCUAAGGCGGAUGGUAACAGGAGGCGGGGGACACGAUGUUUACCUAGGUUCGGGCCCUCUCGAUGGAGGUAAUACCCUACUUCCUGCUUGAUUGAUCUUGAUGAUAUGAGUAUUACAAGAGUUGAUCUACCACGAGAUCGUAGAGGCUAAACCCUAGAAGCUAGCCUAUGGUAUGAUUGUUGUUCCUACGGACUAAACCCUCCGGUUUAUAUAGACACUGGAGGAGGCUAGGGUUACACAGAGUCGGUUACAAGGGAGGAGAUCUACAUAUCCGUAUUGCCAAGCUUGCCUUCCACGCCAAGGAGAGUCCCAUCCGGACACGGGACGAAGUCUUCAAUCUUGUAUCUUCAUAGUCCAACAGUCCGGCUAAAGUAUAUAGUCCGACCGUCCGAGGACCCCCUAAUCCAGGACUCCCUCAGUAGCCCCCGAAUCAGGGUUCAAUGACGAUGAGUCCGGUGGCAGAUUGUCUUCGGCAUUGCAAGGCGGGUUCUUCUCCAAAUUCUAGAUACCUGUUGAGUAGUGUUCGGCCUCCCAUAAAUUUUGCACUCCUUGGCUUCUACGCCCAAUAAUGGCUAUCUUCCACGCGUCGAGCGAAUGCGAGAAGCCAGGGCAUUUUUACAGUUGCCACCCUAGUCAUGUGAGUAAACCAUCUAUUAAAGAGACGGGGAUUCUCAGAUACAGAUCACACCAUGCUCCCACAGUGAGUAUCUGUCAGAGCACGCCCGAAAAAAUCUAUUCCAACAUGGCCGACCAUCGCAGCUCCUCCUCUCGCUCCUGUAGCCCUAAGCCCGGUGAUUGGAAGAAGUGUUCCGUCCCUCACAGCCAAUUAGUAGAGUUACAGACCCUGGGAUUUCUCCCUCCAGCGUAUAUGGUCCCCGUGCGAGCCGGGCUCGCCACCUACAAUGGCGGGGAGCAAGCGGAGAGCUUACCCAACCCAUCCAAGGGGGAGCGGGUAUGCCUUGUCCCUUUCUUAUUAAGGCGUCUUGGAUUUCCAAUUCAUCCAUUCCUCUGCGGGCUCCUGGAGUUCUACGGCCUCCAGUUGCAUAACUUUAACCCCGCUUCCAUAUUACACAUCGCUGGCUGCGUCGCCCUUUGCGAGCUGUUUCUGGGCUGCGAAGCUCAUUUCGAGCUAUGGCAGAGGCUAUUUUGCCUAGUGCCCCGUACACAGAAGGGGUCUAUAUAUCAAGUGGGCGAAGCCGAAAUAUGGCGCCUUGCCGGGACAGGAUACCUAUCCGGUACCCCGAAGAAAACGUCCGAAGAUUGGCCUUCGGAGUGGUUUUAUAUGGAGGAUGUCCCCCUUCCAGAUCCUAUUCGGAUGGGCCUUCCUGAGUUCGGCAACGCCCCUUUGAAGAAACGCCGCAGCUGGCGCCAUCGGAGCCCCCAGGUGGAAGAUAACGGAGAAGUCCUUUACCUGAUGGGCCAGAUAGAAAUGCUGGCCAAAUCAGGAUUGACAAUAACCGAGGUUAUGUCCAUAUGUAUAAUGCGGGGGGUGCAUCUGCUUGAAUAUCGGGGACAACCCAUGUGGCACUUCAAUGGAGAAGACGAUGCCACCCACUGCGGUCGCAAAUGUCCGGACUCCGUCGCUGCCCUAGCGAAGAUACUGUCCGAUUUGUAUAAAGGAGAAGAAGAGGAGUUCAUCCAUAUUAAGCCUCGGGAUGGAUUCUCCAUGUACAACCCCCCAAGCUGGGUGAGCUGCUACUUUCCACUCCAAUCCUUUAUGCAUUCUUUGUCAUAAGUAUUUACCUCGCUAUUCCAUAGCAGGAACUGCGAAAAGCUGUGAAGGAGGUCCACAUCCCGUCUCCACAACCAGAGGACCCUGACCGGGCCCUCGACCCUGGACUUGAAGAAGAUCCGGACAUAUUUGUGGAGCUCAUCGAUAGAACAUUCUAUCAGUUGAGCUGCGACGGUACCUUGGUGGCCAUCAUAGCCGAUUAUCCUAGACUGCUCCCCGCAUUGCAUGUAAGUAAAUCUGAAGCCCUAACUUCCAAGAAGGAUCCCUUUUUCUGCACUUCACCUACCACACACAUAUGGUGUCUUACAGGGAAGGCCCUCGGGACGCCAUGCCGAACCCGCAGUGACUCACCAACAAGGGGCACCGAAUCCGGGUAGGCUCAAAAGGAAGGCGGUUAGGACUGAGAGGCCGUCGUAGAGGUACAAAAGAGGACCCCGCUCCAUGGUAGUCAUCUUUUAAAAUAUAAUAACGCCCAUGUUCCCUAAUAGGAAAAACGCUCGCCGGACUAUAUCCGGAGAGGUUGCCAGUCACGCCUCCACCAGUCGGGCUCCAGAGCCGGACAUAGAGGCGGACGCUAACAUGGGGCCAACGCCGGAUGUUCCUCCUACAGAGGAUGCGGAUAGGCUAUGCGCUACAAAUUCCAAAGUGGAGAGCGCCAUGAAUCACAGGCGUCGCCGAGCCAUACUCCGUGAUGCUUGUUUCUCCCAAGAGGCGUUCGAUGCCUUCAACUCAGGAGACGCGUAUAUCCGAGCUGCUCAAAAUGGUCUUGCCAGAGCCAUGGACCAGUAUGUAAAAGAUACACGAGUAAGGAAAUCUAAUAAUUAUGUAUAUCAGUAGCCCCUAAGACUUGAAACAGUUGGCACAACUGAUUUAAGGAUCAUUGUUUGCAUAGGUUCUUACAAAGAAGAAUACCUAGUUGUCUUUAGAGCUGGAGGAGUGCAAAGCCUAGCUUCAGGCCGCAGUUGCCGCGGUCAAGGAGUCCGAGAAGGCCCCAUCUGGUAACACUUGUUCUCAUUGUAAAGAAUGUCAGUUACCAGGUAGUAUGCGGCAUGCGUGCAAAUCUAACAAUAGAUUAUGCAAAUGGACUCGGAGUGAAUCCGGAUGAGCAACAUGCUCGACGACAGCUAAAUGCUAGCGAGCGCGUGCUUAUGAAAGUUAGGCGGGAGAAAACCGAUCUCCAAGACGCCAAUACCCAGCUGAGCAUUGAACUAAAAGAUGUUUGGGCCCAGCUUGCUGACUCCGUAAAGGAGAAUAAGAGGCUUCGACGCGGCAUUUUCAGUAAGUGCUUGACCAAACUUUUAUAGAGUUCGGCGAAGAAAUCGGCUGACAGAGUUAUAUCUGUAGGUAUGUUGACGGGUCGCCCCGCGGAGGAGAUGCCCGGAUCUACAGGCGAUCUUCUGCCAGAGCUCUCACAACUGCACGAACAAGUGCGGCAGGUGAUGCAGGGCAUUGCCCAAGCCUUGUGGCCGUCCGCCUCCCUGCCACUAGGCAUGAGAGAGCUUGUAGAAAAGCUCAAGGGAGCGCGGCGGCGCUUCCGACUAUGGAAGUUAUCAGCCUGGCGACAAGGUGCAAGGGAAGCCUGGGCCAUGGUGAAGACGCGAUAUACCCAGGCUAAUCUGAACCACAUGGCCGAGGUCGGACCUGUGGGGUCUGACGGGAAAGAGGUCCCCGUCAGUUUGGUUUAUGACCAGCUAGAAUUAGCCGCAAAGUAUUCUCAAUAGGACUGUAGGCUAGACAACUUGUUGGAUGGUAUAGAAGAAGAAUUUGGUCAGUCUAAGUGACUUUGUACUUCAAGUGACAUAUAUUGUCCCUAGCCGGAUUGUAAAUCAUUUGUCAUGGCGGACCUUUUUGCUUCAACCUCCGGACCCGACAGUACGGAGUGUAUCAGAAUACCAUCUCAGUUAUGUAAAAACAGGGAUAUGCGUGGAAACCAGGCGUAGGGGUCAUAAGUGCUUGAACAGACAAGUACCCAACUAGCUAUGUUAUAUUACAUGGAAUAGUAAGAAACAUCUUCCAAGGAAAAUAGUUCCAUUAAGGGUUCCUUUCCCUGGGUACGCAUGCCCCAACGUGCAUGUCAGGACUGCGAAAAGAGACGCAGGAUAUAAUCUUCUGGGAGCAUAUCUAUACCUACUAAUAAAGCAAGGUGCGUUUCGCCUAUAUUUUCAUACGUUCACCGUCGGAAAAAAAAAAUCUUUCUACCCGAGGUGGUACUAAAGUCUUAUGCGUUUGUUUGCUAGAAAAUGAAUUGUUGUACGUGGGCCGCACGCGGUGGCCCAGCAAAGCCAGCCCACUUAUUUUUCUGCCCAUGCAGCUGGGAAAACUCUAUUUUCCGCACAACGCGACAAAUAGUUAGAAUUUCGCACAGAGUAACCAAUAAUGGGCUGGCCCAUGUAUAUUUUUUUUUCUGUAUUUUACUUCUAUUUUUAUUCUCCUUUCCCUAUAUGUUUUUCCCUUCCAAGUUUAUUUUUCUUUUAUAAUUUAUUUUGUAAAUUAAAAUUCUAAAAAAAGUUCAAAAAAAAGAAAAUUUUGGAAAAUGUUCAGAAUUCUAAAAUUUUGUUUCUAGUUUAAAAAAAUUCGGAAAUUAUAAAAGUUGCCCUUUUUAAAAAAACAUUGUUUUCCAUAAUUCUUAGGGAUGUCAAAAAAUAAAAUGGCAUUUCAAAAAAUGCCCCAAAUUUGAAAAAUAUUCCUGUUUUAGUGAAAUUUUAAAAUCAAAACUAAUGUUCAUGUAUAAAAGAUACACAUUUUCUAAAAAUCUUAUGAAUUCUCAACACAUGUUCCCUUAAAAAAAGGUUCACAAAUUCAUAUAAUGUUUUUUCCUGUGUUUUACUUCUAUUUUUAUUCUCCUUUCCCUAUAUCUUUUUUCCCUUCCAAGUUUAUUUAUCUUUUGGAAUUUAUUUCGUAAAUUGAAAAUUCUCAAAAAAGUUCAGAAUAAAAAAAGCAAGAUUUGGAAAAUGUUUGGAAUUCCAAAAUUUUGUUGCUAUUUUAAAAAAAAUCAAAAAUUGCAAAAAGUUGCCCAUUUUUUAAAAAGUUAUCGUUUUUCAAAAUUGUUCGGAAUUUCAAAAAAGAAAAUGGCAUUUCGAAAAAUGCUCCAAAUUAAAAAUAUUCAUGGUUUCGUGAAAUUUCAAAAUUAAAAGUAAUCUUCGUGUAGAAAAGAUACACAUAUUCUAAAACUCUUAUGAAUUCUCAACACAUGUUCCCGUUUUAAUUAAAUGUUCAUGUUUUUACUAAAAAAAUUGGUAUUUUCAUAAAAUGUUUUUGAAUUUUAAAAGUGUAGUUAAUUUUGUAAAAACUGUUUAGCAUUUAAAAAAUUAUUCAUGUUUCUUAGAAUAUUCAGAAACUUCAUACCUUAAAAUCCCCUCGAUUGAAAGGACGGAAAGGAAUUGUAGAUUGAAUAACUCAUGCGCCUUCUCUGACGUACGAUGACGUAACAAAACUCUUAAAUGCCCUCGAUCAAUGAAUGGAAAAAUAGCAGAUUGAUUCCUUCACACGCGGCGAAACCGGUAAGCUAAAUGUUUCUUUUUCGUGUGCCCACAUAUAAUUCUCACUAACUUUAAAUGCAUAUUAUUUUAUCUCCCGUUGCAACGCACGGGCAUAUUUGCUAGUGGUAUAAUAAAUAGAAAUCAUCUUUUGUUCACCGACCGAAUAUUCCCUUAAGAACGCUAGCUUUCGGCUUCACCCAGUCUGAGGUACACAUCCGGCUGACCCGACAGUAACAAUCGUAGAGGUGCUCCCCUUAUGCCCUAGCCGAAUUAAUGGGAACGUAGGGCAUAAACACAAAAGCCAGGCAACCUAGCUUGGACAAAACUUAAGUCAUAUCGAUGCAUAUAAUGGUAAAAAAGGUACAUGUGAAAAGUAACACAUGUGCUGGGCCGAGAGCCCGGAAUGUAGCUAUAUUAAGCUUCUGUAUAAGAAGCCCCCAGGUAACAUGAGCGUGGGUAGCGCGUCAAUAUUGUGUAGUCAAGACACAUUGUAGCCUUUUAAGGCAUUGAAGAAAAAGGGGAAGAAAGAAAGAAAAGACAGAUAAUGACUAUAUAAAAAAAAUUGAUAGAGGUAGGGAAACGAACACGGAGUCCGGCACUAGGCGUAGAACCUUCGGAGUUUGGCCGCAUUCCAUGGAUUUGGCUCGAGUCGAUUGUCCGAUGCAUCCCGCAGACGGUACGCUCCACCAGUCAGAACUUGGUCAAUAAUGAAGGGACCUUCCCAUUUGAGCUUGAACUUGUUCUUUUUCUUCUCCGGUAGGCGUAGAACGAGUUCGCCAACAUUAUAAGUUUUGGCCCGUACUUCUCUGCCUUGGUACCUUCGAGCCUGUUGCUGAUAGAAUGCGGAACAGGCUUUUGCCACAUCGCGCUCCUCCUCCAGGGCGUCCAAACUGUCCUGCCGAUCAAGCUCGGCUUCUUUCUCUUCAUACAUGCGCACUCGAGGUGAGUCAUGAAUUAUGUCGCAGGGCAGUACCGCCUCUGCGCCGUACACCAUAAAAACGGUGUGUAUCCGGUAGUGCGAUUCGGCGUGGUCCGCAGCCCCCAUAGUACGGAGUCGAGCUCCUCUACCCAGUGCAUAUUUGAUUCCUUCAAGGAUCGCACUAAUCUGGGUUUAAUGCCGCUCAUGAUAAGACCGUUUGCUCGCUCAACUUGACCGUUAAUUUGCGGGUGAUAGACAGAAGUAUAAUCAAGCUUGAUGCCCAUGUUGCUGCACCAAAGUUUUACCUCGUCGGCUGUAAAGUUCGAGCCGUUGUCGGUGAUGAUGCUGUGGGGGACGCCGUAAUGGUGUACAACCCCGGAUAUGAAAUCUAUCAAUAGUCCGGACUCGGCUGUUUUAACUGGUUUGGCUUCUAUCCAUUUGGUGAAUUUAUCCACCAUGACCAAUAAGUAUUUUUUCUUAUGGCUUCCUCCUUUGAGGGGUCCGACCAUAUCAAGCCCCCAGACCGCAAAGGGCCAAGUAAUGGGGAUUGUUUGGAGAGCGAUAGGCGGCAUAUGGCUUUGGUUGGCAAAAAGCUGGCAACCGACACAAUGUUGAACGAGGUCCUGUGCGUCUGCUCGGGCCGUCGGCCAAUAGAAACCUGUACGGAAGGCCUUGCUUACAAGGGCCCGAGCUGUGGCAUGGUGGCCGCCAAGUCCAGCAUGAAUUUCUGCCAAAAGUUGCCUCCCUUCCUCUUCGGAGAUGCACCUUUGAAGGACUCCGGUAGCGCUUUUCUUAUAAAGCUCUCCCUCGUGGACCUUCUAGGCUUUAGACCGCUGCACAAUGCAGCGCGCCUCGUUUGGGUCCUCGGGUAGUUCCUGCCUAGUUAGGUAGGCCAGGAAUGGUUCUGUCCACGGGGCGAUGACAACCAUUAUUACGAGGGUGGAAGGUGUUAUUUCGGUGGCAGAGCCUCCGAUUAUGUCAGAGUGUUCGGUAUGUACUGUUGUGGCCGGGUCCGGACUAUUGUUACCGGUCUCCCCUUCCCAUACCACGGAUGGCUUAAACACCCUUUCCAAGAAGAUAUUAGGUGGGACAGGGUCGCGCUUAGCGCCGAUGUGGGCGAGAAUAUCCGUCGCCUGAUUGUUUUCCCGGGCCACAUGGUGGAAUUCAAGCCCCUCAAACCGAGCUGACACUUUGAGGACGGCGUUGCGAUAAGCCGCCAUUUUUGGAUCUUUGGCGUCGUAGUCUCCAUUUAUUUGAGAUAUUGCGAGGUUCAAGUCCCCACGUACUUCCAGGCGUUGAAUGCCCAUGGAGACUGCCAUCCGGAGACCAUGUAAGAGGGCCUCAUAUUCUGCUGCAUUGUUGGAGUCUGUGUACAGUAUUUGGAGUACGUAUUGGACUGUAUCUCCGGUGGGGGACGUCAGGAUGAUGCCAACCCCCAGACCAGCCAGCAUUUUAGAGCCGUCAAAGUGCAUAAUCCAAUUGGAGUAUGCACCGUACUCUUUAGGGAGUUCGGCUUCUGUCCAUUCGGCGACGAAAUCAGCCAGUACUUGUGACUUAAUGGCUCGCCGUGGUUUGUAUAUUAUGUCGAACGGGAGGAGCUCAAUAGCCCAUUUAGAAAUCCGGCCUGUGGCCUCGCGGUUGUUUAUUAUGUCGUUGAGUGGCACUUCAGAGGCCACCGUAAUUCACCACUCUUGAAAGUAGUGUCGUAGUUUCUGGGAUGCCAUAAAGACCGCAUAGGCUAUCUUUUGAUAAUGUGGGUACCGUGAUUUGCAUGGAGUGAGGACAGUGGAUACAUAGUAUACCGGCUUUUGAAGUGGGAACUUAUGUCCAUCCAUCUCUUGUUCGACGAUGAGCACCGCGCUUACAACUUGGCGUGUUGCCGCUACAUAUAGCAACAUUGGUUUGCCGACGUUAGGUGCGGCCAAGAUUGGGUUUGUGGCCAGAACGGCUUUUAUUUCUUCCAAUCGGGCCAUGGCCGCAUCCGUCCACUCGAAGUGUUCCGUGCGUCGCAGAAGGCGAUAAAGAGGCAGUGCCUUUUCUCCUAAUCAGGAGAUGAAGCGGCUUAACGCAGCCACGCAUCCAGUUAGUUUCUGGAUUUGCUUGAGGUCUGUUGGGAUGGCCAACUAUGACAGAGCUUGGAUUUUAGCCGGAUUUGCUUCGAUUCCUCUGUUGGAGAUGAUGAAGCCUAAGAGUUUUCCGGCGGGCACGCCGAAGACGCAUUUUUCCGGGUUGAGCUUAAUGUCGUAUGUUCAGAGAUUGUCGAACGUGAGCCUCAAGUCCUCUAUUAAGGAUUCGACGUGUCUGGUGUUAAUGACCACAUCGUCUACGUAUGCCUCCACUAUUUUGCCAAUCUAUGUCUCCAAGCAUGUUUGAAUCAUGAGUUGAUAGGUUGCACCGGCGUUUUUGAGCCCGAAAGGCAUGGUGUUAAAACAGAAGGGGCCAUAUGGAGUGAUGAAUGCCGUUGCGGCUUGAUCGGAAUCCGCCAUCUUAAUUUGAUGGUAUCCGGAGUAUGCAUUGAGGAAACACAAUGAGUCGUGUCCGCCGGUAGCGUCAAUAUUUUGAUCGAUGCGAGGGAGGGGGAAGGGAUCCUUUGGGUAAGCCUUAUUAAGGUCCUUAAAGUCGACGCAUAGGCGCCAGGAUUUGUCCUUCUUUGGUACCAUCAGCAGGUUUGCUAGCUAGUCCGGAUGUUUUAUUUCCCGGAUGAAUCCGGCUUCCAGUGACUUGGCUAGCUCCUCUCCCAUGGCUCACUUAGGCUCAGAGAAACGCCGGAGAGCUUGCUUGACCGGCUUGAACCCCUUUAGGAUAUUAAGGCUAUGCUCGGCCAGCCUGCAUGGGAUUCCUGGCAUGUCUGAAGGAUGCCAGGCGAAGAUGUCCCAAUUGUCGCGCAAGAACUCCCGUAGCGCGACGUCUAUCGUGGGGUUUAACUGUGCUCCGACGGAUGCUGUUUUUGUAGGGUCCGUUGGAUGGACUUGGAAUUUGACUAUUUCAUCCGCUGGUUUGAAAUAAGUGGACUUGGAUCUUUUGUCGAGUAUCACGUCAUCCCUGUCCACUAUGGAGCGCAGCGUACUUAAUUCCUCGGUCGCGAGGGCCUCGGAUAACGCCUCGAGGGCCAGUGCGGCUGUUUUAUUUUCGGCGCAAAGUGCUAUGUCCGGAUCACUAGCUAGAGUGAUGAUGCCAUUGGGCCCGGGCAUUUUGAGCUUCAUGUACCCGUAAUGGGGUAUAGCUUGGAAGACCGUGAAUGCCUCCCGCCCUAGAAGGGCGUGGUAUCCGCUAUUGAAUGGGGCCACUUGGAAUAUGAUUUCUUUGGACCUAUAAUUCUCCGGCGUGCCGAAUACCACAUCUAGUGUGAUUUUGCCAGCACAUUGUGCCUCCCGACUAGGGAUGAUUCCUCUAAAGGUCAUGCUGCUUUGCUCAAUGCGGCUUCUGUCUAUUUCCAUUUUUUGAAGAGUUUCAUCAUAGAUGAGGUUUAAUCCGCUGCCGCUGUCCAUGAGCACUUUGGUAAGUCGGAAGCCGUCCACAGUUGGACUAAGGACCAAGGCUGCUGGUGCUCGGGCUGUCCGAAAUUUAGGUUUAUCACUGGCAUUGAAGGUUAUAGCCGUAUCGCUCCAUGGAUUUAAUGCUGCUACUUGGCAGACUUCGGCAAGGCCGCGGAGUGCUCACUUGCGCCUAUUAUUUGAGGCGAAGGUAUCGAACACUGUCAAUACUGUAUUGUUGUUCUCCACGGGAUGGUGCUCUGCGGUAUUGUUGAUGAGGAUAUCCUCACCGCUCUUGGCCACCUGCCGAAGUACCCAACAUGCUCUAAGGCUGUGUGUUGGUAUGGUAUCCGCUGUACUGUGGAUUUUGCAUGGCCCGUUGAGCCAUCCCUCCAAUAAGGUUCCACGCCAUGUAGUGGGCUUUUGUUUCUUUGUAGUUGUAUCGGGUGACUUAUGAGAGCACCCUUUUAGUUCAGACUGGGGGUUUAGUGAGAGCCGGAGGAUCCCAGAAUUUUGUUUGGGUUUUCCAGGUGCUUUCCAUCGCACAGUACUUCUGUACUAUGGCCGCCAAGUCAGCGAAGUGUGCUAUGUCACGGCGACUUAUGGCGUUGAGGAUUCCCCUAUCCGUGCAAUUUUUGCAAAAGAAUGAAAUUGCGUCUUCCUCGCGACAGUCCUUGACCUUGCUCAUUGCAAGUAGAAAUCUGGCCCAAUAGUGAUUUACUGUUUCUUGGGGCUCUUGUCUAAUGUGGGAAAUAUCACUUAUAUCUGGGUGGGUGGGUAAAUUUAGGUCUGAACCCUGACCCGAUCUGAGACCCAGGAGCACCGGAGUUUCCAAUCUUGAAAGUUCGGGCUCCGGGAUGUUGCCCAAUAGGUCUGGCCCGCUGUCUGAUUCUAAGUUUAGAACUUGGGCCAUGUCCUCCCGUAGACUGGUAUCCGACUUAGAGAGCUCGGGAAUCCGGACAUAGCUUGUCCUCAAGAUAGAGGAAGAAUCGCUGCGUUGCUCCUCCACCACCGCUAUCUGAUGGGUGACCAGCGGAGAGUUAAUCUCCCUUUGGUCGAGUUUAAGCCCGUUACGAUCAUAGUCUGUGGCGACUCCCAAAGCGGCGAUGUGAUCCAAGAGCUCGUUCAAAGAAGAGAGCUCCAUUGGAUCCAUCUGCUCGGCGAGUUCCAAGCCGACGUGGAGACUAUUUUUUAUGACCUGAGAAGUCAUCGUUGGAGCAACGGCCGAACGGGAAGUCAUGACGAAGCCGCAUAGUCAGAGAGUUUGGCCUACAGCCAGGGCUCCCCCAGAGGUGAUGUUGUCCUUGACAACGAGACGAGCCAUCCAGCCUUAUGAUUACGACACAAUGGAACUCUCAAUGAAAGCACCAAUGUCGGUGUCAAAACCGGCGGAUCUUGGAUAGGGGGUCCCGAACUGUGCGUCUAAGGCAUAUGGUAACAGGAGGUGGGGGACACGAUGUUUACCCAGGUUCGGGCCCUCUCGAUGGAGGUAAUACCCUAAUUCCUGCUUGAUUGAUCUUUAUGAUAUGAGUAUUACAAGAGUUGAUCUACCACGAGAUCAUAGAGGCUAAAUCCUAGAAGCUAGCCUAUAGUAUGAUUGUUGUUGUCCUACGGACUAAAACCUCCGGUUUAUAUAGACACGGAGGAGGCUAGGGUUACAUAGAGUCGGUUACAAGGGAGGAGAUCUACAUAUCCAUAUUGCCAAGCUUGCCUUCCACGCCAAGGAGAGUCCCAUCCGGACAUGGGACGAAGUCUUCAAUCUUGUAUAUUCAUAGUCCAACAGUCCGACUAAAGUAUAUAGUUCGGCCGUCUAAGGACCCCCUAAUCCAGGACUCCCUCAAUCACCCAAAUCAAUUCAUACUUAAAACACUGUCUUUAGAGAAAAUUUGGGUCACAGGACAAAGGUAUGGCCAUGAUUGCCUGGGACAAAGAAUGUUUGCCCAAAACACAUGGGGGUCUGGGAGUGCUCAAUAUUGAAACUCAUAAUCAAGCUCUUCUUCUGAUGUUCUUACAUAAAUUCAUGAACAGAGAAGAUACACCCUGGGUUAAGAUUAUUUGGGAAUCUUAUUACACUCAAGAGCUACCUGAUGAAAGAGCUAUAGGAUCCUUCUGGUGGAGAUCUAUCCUGAAGCUUCUUUCAGUUUAUAAAGUACACUCUAUAUGUGUGGCUGGCUCAGGGAAUACUAUUGCAUUUUGGAAGGACAAAUGGACAGGACAAGAAUUGCAACUCAGCUACCCUCAACUUGCCUCUUACUGCAUAAAUUUGGACAUCUUACUGUUUCAAGUCCUGGACUCACCCAACCUUGAGGACCUCUUUCAUUUACCUCUCUCUUCUCAAGCAUAUCAACAACUUCUUCAUCUACGGACUCAGCUCCAAGAUAGAAGUCAGUUGCAAGGAUGUGACAAAUUCAGUCAUCAAGAUGUAUAAAUCCUUAAUAGGACCCAACAACUGCCAUCAGGUGUUCAAAAUCCUUUGGAAAAUAGCAGCCCAAUUAAGACACAAAUUAUUUUUAUGGUUGUUACUCUAUGACAGAGUCAAUUCAAGGAACCUAUUGAAAAGAAGAUCCAUGUACCUGGAGGACUAUAACUGUGCCCUCUGCACUGAGCAUACGGAAGAAACGACACUACCUCUUUUUUGGGACUGUGACUUUGCAUGGACAUGUUGGAACAAGAUUCUACCCCACAGAUCUCAGGGCAUCUCCAGUCUGGAUGAGAUUUGCAUCAUAAUGAAUGCAUUUCCUUGUGAUAUAGCCCUGGAUAUCAUCUUGGCAAGAUGUUGGAGCAUUUGGCUAGUCAGAAAUGAUAAAUUUUUUAGGAAUGCUGCACCCCAUCUGAUGACACGGGAGUUCUACUUGAAAGAAACGCUUACAGCAGCAGUUUACAGAGCCAAACACAGUAAAGCGCAAAAGAUUAAGGAGUGGAUUGGAUGAAACCUCUAAUUGUAGACAUGUUCCCUAGACUUGGUAUUGGCUAGUCUUGUAUUCUUUCUCUUUUUUUGAUGCUUUUAAAUAUUUUUAUUAUUAAUAUAUUACCGUAGAACUAUUGUUCUAUGGUUCAGGCUUCAAAAAAAAGAUAGCACGACUGUGAUCUCUACACGUUCUUGUCCAUCGGGUCGGACUGGAGCACGCCUGCGAGGUGCCUUGACGAGAUUUGCGACUAUGGCAAGCGUGGCUUUAGGGUUCUGCAAGGGACUCAGAAUGUCACGGUGUGCAGCCGUGGUAUGGCGCACUGGAUCGUUGAGUACUGGUCGGACAAGGUAGACUUAUCAAGGUACCACACCUUGGACAUCAAUGCCGAGACCAGCCAUGUUUCCUUGACGGAGCUCUCCACCCCAAUGAACCAGCUCACCAAAAGCAGAUACACUGCCGAGCUAACACUUUGUACCGUCGUCGAUGGGACACUCCUGCUGUUCUACAUGCAUGUGCAUGGAAGCCGGCCUUGGUCGGCUAGACAUCUGGACGUGGCCGGGAGGUGUUACUGAAGAAAGUGGAGAUCGUUGGCUCCUUGCUAGGGUGGUCGAGCUAACACUACCCAAGGAGGAGUGGCAUCCCAUGAUUUUGCAGGUGUGGUCCGGACAGAAGAGUGUCAUGUUAUUCAUUAGACUCAUUUGCGCACUUGUACAAAGUCGUUGCUGAAGCAUGAGCGAUGGAGGAUCAUUUUUUGGGACUAACGUAUUAACUCAGUGCCAAGUGCUAGUUGCUGUUUUUUGGUCUGCUUUUGGUUUUCCAUAAAAUCAAUACAAAACUAAAUCCAAACGCUACAAAACUUUUUGAUGAUAUUUUUCUAGACAAACAAACCGUAGAAGCUUUGGGAAGACACGAGAAGGCAAACGAGGAGAUGCCAAGUCAACUGGGCGUGCCCAAGGGGUAGGAGCGCCUUGAUGCCUUGUGGGCCCCUCGUGGCUCCGUCUGACCUAAUUCCACCUCUAUAAAUUCUCUAAAAUCGGGAAACCAACAAAGAGCCACCUGUUCUUUCGCAAUCCCAUCUCGAGGCCUUUUCGAUACUCUGCCGGAGGAGGAAUCGAUCCCAGAGGACUUCUACAUCAACCUUGCUGCCCUUUCGAUGAUGUGUGAGUAGUUUACCAUAGACCUAUGGUUCCAUAGCUAUUAGCUAGAUGACUUCUUCUCUCUCUCUUUGAACUUCAAUACAAUGUUCUCCGUGAUGUUCUUGAAGUUCUAUCCGAUGUAAUCUUAUUUUGAAGUGUGUUUGUUGGGAACCGAUGAAUUGUGGAUUUAUGAUCAGAUUAUUCAUGAAUAUUAUUUGAGUCUUCUCCGAACUCUUUUAUGCAUGAAGGUUGUAGCUUUGUAUUUUUUCUCCGAUCUAUCCGUUCGGUUUGGCCAAUAGAUUGAUUUAUCUUGCAAUGGGAGAGGUGCUUCAUAAUGGAUUCAAUCUUGCGAUGUUCUAUAUCGCAGUGACAAAGUGGGGGACAAGAAAUGUAUUUGUAUUGUUGCCAUUAUGGGGAAAACGACGAGGGUUUAUUCGUAGUGAUUGGAUUUAGUUUUUAUACAUCAUGUCAUCUUGCUUAAGGGGUUACUUUGUUUUUAUUAACUUAAUACUCUAGAUGCAUGCUAGAUAGAAGUCGAUGGGUGGAGUAAUAGUAGUAGAUGCAAGCAGGAGUCAAUAUUUCUCUUAGGACAUGAUGCCUAUAUAUAUGAUCAUUGCCUUGAAUACUGUCAUAAGUAUGCGCUUUUCUAUCAAUUUCUCAAUGGUAAUUUGUUUACCCAUCAUAUGCUUUUUGUUCGAGAUAGAAGCCUCUAGUGAAAACUAUGGCCCUCAGGUCUACUUUUAUCAUAUAUAAAAUCCAAAAAUACCUUACUGCAAAUUAUUUAUCGUUAUUUCAUUUUGUGGUUUAUUUAAUCUACAUAUCACUACAAGGUUUGAUCCUUGCAAUUAACAGCCAAGGGGAUUGACAACCUUGUGUGUGUAGGUGCUGCUAAAGUGGUUCUGCGUGGUUCUCCUACUGGAUUGAUAACCUUGGUUCUUAACUAAGGGAAAUACUUAUCUCUACUAUACUGCAUCAUCCUCUCCUCUUCGAGAAAAUCCCAACACAGCUCACAAGUAGCAUCAUGGCUGGCCAUGAGAUGUCGAGAGAGGUAAGCUGCUUCCUCUGAGGCUGCACCAAUAGCUAGGACUGUUGUCUUAUUGAUAUAUGCCUGCAAAUCGGUGAUCUCCGCACGGCCUAUCCAUCAACUAUUGGUCUUGGACAUGCCAGUUUGGGUGUUUGAUCGAGAAGUGCAUACGGUCAAUUUUUGGGCUGGAAAGGAUAAGGUGAAUGGAGGAUAAUUCCUCAUUGCUUGGGACACAAUCUACCGACCGACGUGCUACAGAGGGCUAGGAGUCAAGGAUCUAUAGUGCCAGGUGCUGGCAUUUCGCGUCAUGUGGGAAUGGCUUCACCGGACGAACCCGACUGCACCGUGGCAAGGUAUCAAGAUGAUCGAGGAUAAGGAGGCUAGGAUGGUUUUUGACAGCAUGGUGAAGAUCUCUGUGGGUAACGGUGCGAGCAUCCCUUUCUAGAGUGACCGAUGGGUCCAUGGAUUCACAAUGGAGGAGAUAGCGCCCUUGGUUUUGACACUUGUUUGCACUAGGGUGAAGAAGAACAGAAUGAUUCACGAAGCUCUAGUCGAUAAUGCUUGGACCCAUGAUGUCUUGACAUAUUUGUCCUUCAUGGCGCACCUCCAGAUGGCAAAUCUAUGCCAUGCCAUCGCCACUGUUCCACGUAAUGAAGACGUGCAGGACCUGUUCACCUGACCAGCCGACUCUUCUGGCGUCUACACUGCCAAAUUGGUGUAUGAUAUGCUAUGCAUUCGUCUGGAGAGAUCACCUACAUCGAUGGGCAUUUGGAGGAGUUGGGCACCUAAAAGUGCAAAAUCUUUGCAUGGUUGACAGUACAAUACCGCCUUUGGACGUCAAACCGGUGAGCACGACAUGGCCUUCAAGAUGAACCGACGACAUUCUUUUUGUGUCUCUAGGAUGAGGACAACAUAUAUCACAUUUUGGCUCAAUGUGUUUACGCUCGGUAGGUGUGGCAUGGGUUAUUUGAUAAGUUACAUAUCAACAUGUCACCUCCCUCCACUCAUGACAGUUUCAAGAAUUGGCGGUGAAAGGACAUGCGGUGCCCCCAUGUGUGGUUUUGGCAAUUGAUGGCAUUCUCUAUGGACUAAUGGUUGCAUUGAGAUAUAUUUGAAGGAUUUGUCCAUAGGCAUUUCUUGAAGUCCAUGUGUUGCUUUCAAGGAGUUUAUGAGUUGACCAAGGUGCUAUUAAGUAAUUAUCCAAAGAUUGGUCAUGAGUUUAUGAGUUGACCAAGGUGCUAUUAAGGAAUUAUCCAAAGAUUGGUCUUGUGAGUAUUGAACUUAUUGCAAGCAUGUCUUGAAGAAGAAGAUUGUGUAAUCAUUCAUGUUUACCUUCAAGACAUCAUCCAAAUGAAGAGAGUUGGAAAGAUUCAAGGUUGAUCAACACACAAAGCGUACAAGAUGUACCGGGAGGGAUCAAGUGAUCCCAUGGUAUGGUAAGCAUUGUCCAUUACGCUUUGUGUACUAACCCAUGAUCUACGUGUGAGUUCUAUGUGGGGUUAGGUUUGUUUCCAUGGGUUUGCAUCAAGAGGAAGAUCUCAUACAACCCAUGGAGGAUGACAUCAAGUGGUGAUCGUCAUCAAGAUUGCGGUGUGCAAGUUCAAGUGGAGCAUCACGAAGAGAUCAUCCUUGAAUCUUGCCGUCCAUUGUGGUGUCAAUGGACUUGUGAAGAUGUUCCAAAGAGUGGCUCACCCAUAGUGUAGUAUGGGGGAGCAAUCAACUAGUCUUCAUCGAGCCAACGCAAUCAAGAAAGGUGGUCCAACUUGAGGGAGUCAAGAUCGUCAUCAUCUAGCUCAAGUGGACUAUGUGCAAGGCAAAGGUUUGCCCUUGAUAGGUUUUCUAUUUUACCGGUCUCAUGGUGGUACUUGAGAGACCGGGUUAUAGAAUCAGUUGCCAUACUAUCAAGGGGGGCUCUCAAUGAGUAGCUUGACCGUAUCGUUCGUAGAGAGCUCAAACCAUUGCAUUCUUGCAUCAUCUUUCUUGGUUCUUGUUUGGUGUUUCUCUUUUUGAGUUUUAGAUCUUAUGGUCAUCUUCAUGACAAGCUUGAGUUCAUCGAAAACGGAGUUCACAUGCAUCUUCUAUGAUGUUUUCGAUGUUGGAGGUUAUGCCGGUUCUUCUCUGUUGGAGGUCGUUGUUGGAUGCUACUCGUCGUCACUAUCCAACAAGCUUGAGUUUGCUCAAUUCGGAGCUCAUUUGCAGAAGUUAUGGUAGUUCUGGGCUUUCUUGUUGCACCUGCUGUAGUACCCUGGCUUGGAGCGGCAGUACCGCCUAGAGGAACAGGCGGUAGUACCGCCCAGAGCUUUAGGCGGUGGUUCUGCUCCAGUGCCAGUCUAGUACGUACCGCCUCGAUUCGAGAACUUGCUUUUCUUGUCCCGGGUUCAGCGGCAGUAGCAACGAUAGUAGGAGUGGUAGUACUUCUCAUUAGCGGUAGUACCGCACCUACUACCGCUACUAGUGCCGCUCUAGGUCUCUCUCCUUCUCACUUCUCUUCCUCGUGUGCUCUGACCACAACGGUAGUACCGCCUGUAGCGGCAGGCGGCAGUACCGCUCGCUUGUGCGGUAGUACCGCUUACACGUAGCACUACCACCCCUAAGGUUCUUUGCCAUUGCUCUUUUUCCUGCUCUACCGCCCGAGCAGUAGUACCGCUUGUUGGAGCGGUAGUACCGCUCGUGUGCGGGAUGAGCACAUAACGGUUGGAUUUUUCCCCACCUAUAAAAGGGGGUCUUCUUCCCCAAUGAACCUUAUCCUUUGAGCUCGCAUUUCCCCCCAUUGUUGACCUUCUUCGAGCUUGCUAUCUCUCAAUCCCUCCAUGGAUUCUUGCUAGUUUGUGGAGUAAAAGAGAGAGGAGAUCUAGAUCCACAUUUCCACCAAUCACUUUCUCCUCUAUGUGAGGGGAACCCCUUGGAUCUAGAUCUUGGAGUUCCUGGUGUUCUCCUUCUUGUUCUUCCUCUCAUUUUCCUCCAUUGCUUUCGUUGCUUUGGUGGGAUUUGAGAGUGAGGGACUUGGGCACUCUGUGUGCCCUUGCCAUUGCAUUUGGUGCAUCGAUUGAGUUCUCCACGGUGGUACAUGGAAUUUACAAGUUGAGAAGCUUAUUACUCUUGGGUGCUUGGUGCCCUUGAGCUUGUUCCUCUUGGGUGUUUGGGCACCCUAGACGGUUGGUGGUGUUUGGAGCUCAAUCAUUGUGGUAUAAAGCUUCAGGCAAGUGUCGGGGUCUCCAAUUAGGUGACAAUCGGGGUGGUUCUACAUCACCGAGCCGCGCGACACCAACUAGGUGGCGGCCCCCGAAUUUUGAUCCGGAAUCCCCACGCGGCUCUCUUCCUGGAAAGAGAAGGGCCUGUCUUGCAGUUCCCCGGUAGAGGUGACCGGACUCUAGAACUGCAUCAAGAACAUGAUGAAAAAUAAAAUCAAGCUCGUCAACGUGGUCCAGGUCAUGCUCUUCCGCCGGAUCCUCCCAUGUCAACGACGGGUAUUCAAUUUGUGGGAGUUCGACCCGGCCAAGCACCAGAUGCUGCAAGAGCUCUUCGGCACGACGCACAAGGACGUCUCGAAGGUGCUGUUCAAGGGCGCCAAGGUACCUCGUCCCCUUACCGAGGACCGCGGACUCAGCGCAAAGCGCCAUGCCAAUACGGUAAGUUUUUUAUAUCCCAUAGGAUAUUUAUUUGCCCCAGUUUAAUCCUGUGCGGGAUCUAAGCUUCCAUGCCAUUAACAUGACUGGGUAGAGACAAUGGAGCAGAUCGAUUGCCCAGCCCCCCUACCUGAAGAUCCCGCAGAUGCUCUCCUAACGGAGAUGCUGGUUCCGGCGCCAUACGAGGUGCCGGUGAAGAAGGCCAAGAAGAAGGCCAUGGGGACCCGAAAGGGUCUCCGGCGCAAGGUUAUAUCGGACUCAUCGUCCGAUAACUCCAAAGCGCACUCCUCCCAUGAAAACAAGGAGGAGGAAGAGGAAAGUUCUCCCCCCUAGCCGGGGGAGACAAGAAAAGGAAGGCCACCCCAACCGGGGAGGCCGAAGGGUCCAAGAAGGGAAGGACCCUCCUUCCGGACUCCUCCAUGACGGCCGCCUACAGCGGCGACGAGUGGUUACCUAGGGACAAGCCCCUGGCGAAGUCAUAAGUAUUCGGACACCAUAGUAAUUCAUGGUAUGUUUUAUUGCACUGCUUCUCCUUACGCCGAAUAUGAUUAUGCAGUCCGUCCCGAGCCCGUCUCGAUGUAUCUUCGUCGGAUGGUUCUUUGGACUCGUCGAAUAUGAAUAGCGAUUCACUUCCGACCGCCUCCACCCCCUGGCCUACGGACAACGUCGAGGUGUUGUCUCAAAAGGCACCGAGCCGAGGGGAGGUAGUUUUGGGGGCGCCUCGAGGCGACCUUCCGGACCCUGGGUGCAAAGGGGGCAAGACUCCCACAGGCUCCAAGUUCGGUCCCCAGCCGAACACUGCGCCGGAACCUUCGGUGGUUCCGGACUCCGGCAGGCGAUCCCCCGUUAAGAGGGGCAAGCCGCCCGUGCUGGUGGCCUCUAUCCAUCCAGAGGCACCAGACAACUUGCUGGAAGCGCUUCGCGGCGCUUCCAUCGACGAGAAAGUUCAGUCUGCAAAAAACGGACUAACCGAAGCUUUUGCCAGCCUCCUAACAUGCUUUCAGGUAAGCAAUCAAAAUAUAGGAAAAUAUUACCGCAUAGACAGUAGCCCCUGAUGCUCUGUUUGGCGUUCGUGAAGAAAGGCCGAAUAGAGGAUCAAAUAAUGACUCAGGAGUCUAAUCAGAAUAUGUCUAUGUGCAUAUGUAGGCUUCACCGCUGGCCGCUGCCGCAUGUACUGCGGAGGUCGCUGCACUGAAGCAGGACCUUGAGCGGUCCGAGGAAGAGCUCGACCUUACCAAGAGGCAGCUCGAGGAGAGCAAAGGUAAGCAAUACCUUGUCUAUAUAUUAAAAAGAAAUUCGAUUGUAAAGUAAUAGGAUCAUCAUGAAUUUUCCAGGGGCCACGACCGAGGUGGCGACCCUGAAGAAGGCACUAUCCGAGGCCGAAGACAAAGCGGCCAAGGAGCACAUUGAGCGGGAAAAGCAAGAAGCCCGGGUAGGCGAGGUGCAGUAAGAGCUCGAGGCUCUCGCCAAAAAACACGAGUCCUUGGAGCUUGACUCUAAGACGCGAGAGUCCGAGCUUGCGAAGGCGCUCGAAAGCGCACGGAGCGCCAAGGCUGAAGCCCACAAGGCCCUCCAGGAGAUUGAUGCGGUGAAGAAGAUAGCAGCGGGUAAGGCAUUCAUUAUGCAGAGCAAGCAUGUGAAGGAAACUUUCCUUUUACUUACCAGAAUUCGGAGCUCUCCAGGAGCGUUCGCAGAUCUUCCCCGCAGUGUACUGAAUGCCAUGGAGUUUUACCGAGCUAAGGAGGGGAGCUCGACAGAAAAGUUGUUCUGGUCUCAGUAUACUGGCACCGAACACCCAAUGCCCUUGAGCGACCAGCUGAAGCAACUGGUCAAGCUUCACAAGGCGGCCGAACAGGCCAUGAAGGGUCUUAUAGUCCGGAUGUGGCCUGGCGAUCCCCUGCCUAGCAGCUAAUUUGGUCUGGUGAGGCGGCUUGUGGAUGCUUGCCCACGGCUUGAAGUCAUAAAGCGGCCCGUCUGCAUCGAGGGUGUGCGCAGGGCUUUUGCCCGGGCAAAGAUGCACUGGGCGAAGCAGGACAGCGUAAAGCUGGUGAAGGAGGGGCCGCCGGAGGGCAAGGAGCAUCGCUGCCCCGAAAUGUAUUAUGACAGUGUCUUGAAGGGUUCCCGCCUUGUGGCGGAGAAUGUGCUAGAGAUGUAAUUUUUGAAUGAACAUGCUCAUGUGAUCCUGUAAUGUGAAACGAGUUCAUUUGCGCUAUGCAACGCUUUCUGAAUUUAAAAUAUUACCUUCUGUGCGGCCGUUUAUAAAAUCUGAGAAUUGGCCAGUCGUCGGCUUCUGCCCCCAUGUAACUAGUACUGGGGUGUUCGGAAUAAACUUGAGCACUCUUUAUCCCAAUUUUGGGUCCUUCAAGGGAGGUGUUCAGCACAACGAACCAGGCAAUCAGACUAUAAGGCUUUAUCACUCUCACUUAGCCAUAGAAGUCCAUAAUUUUAAAUUUUGGUGAAGCCCCUAGUAUUCGGAAGGCCGAAUUUGGGGCGCUAUAUACGCCUAAGUCGGGCAAGGCCGACUCCUCGCCCAAAGCGGAAAAAGUCUUUAAGGACUUGAGACCUCUCGAAUAGCGACCAGCUCUCGCCUUAUCAUGACAGUCAGUUUUUGGCUUUCUCUACUGAGGUGCUCGUCCGGAAGAACCGGGACACAAUCGCAGUAGUUCUCCCUGCGCUACCUUAGCCGAUAUAUCGGAACUUAAGGUACCAAAACAUGGGAGCCGGGCAAACCCAACUAUUGACCCAAGACAUGAUUCGGAGCUGAUGCAUAUAAUUCUAUAAGUUUGGGGUGCCGCACUGUCGAAAGUGUUCAGACUUAUCACACCGUAUUAUGGGGUAAACGAAAGCCCCUGGCGUACUAACCGUACCAAAAUGUACGGGUGCAAGUUGUCAUAAAUGAACAUAUAAGAAAAAAAGAUGGAUAAUGCAAUAAUAGACUAAUGAUAUGCAUUGUUAUCUAUACCUACCUAUACUAAUCACAGACUCCCUAAAAAUUACCACGUUAAUUAGAAAUUAUCGGCCGUUAAUUUGGUGGGGCCAAAUUAUAACGGUGUAGAUCCACUCAUAUAAUCCUUGCAAUCUAAGAAAAAAACGUAAUGUAUCUGGAAAAAAAUUGGGUACGUGAAUAAUCUAUAUAUCGUACUUCCUACAACUUGGGGCUUGCAAUCUAAGAAAACGACAACAUAUAGCGUAGCUGUUAAAAAACAAUCCCAGACUCUUACGUUCAUCAGUGCAUCUCUCAUGUAACACGACCAUUGUUCUGGAAAAACAACGACAUAAUCUAGCUUCUCGGUUGGCCACUUGCCAUCCAGCCAUGGAUUCUCCUUGAAGAAAAAGAGGAUCCAUCGAGGAUAACUCACCGUCCUCUCCUCUGCUGCUUGCCCUGUGUGCGGCGCCUCGGCCACAUCAUUAUGGCGAGCGAGGUGUUCUUCUCCUUGCCAGGUAUCCGUGGUCUCCCUCAAUUCAUAAGAGCAGCCCCAGGCGAGCUUGAUGGGAAACUGGUCGUCGCUGAUGUUGAACUCUCUGUGGGAUCACGGUCUAACUACGAGUCCUUCCAACCAUCUUAUUGUGGACUCAUCUCUCUGCAGCGUCCGUCACAGCCAAGUAAACCAUCAUAUAAUUAAUUCAAUCUUCUCGAUCUGACGAAGGCGCCCUAUUUUGUGUGAUUUAUUUGUGUGGACUUCAUGCAUGAUGAUGAUCUUGAGCUUUGACUGAAGUUGGUUGGCGUCUUGAGGCUGAGAAGAUCGGGUUGUGCUGAUUUUUUAAAUUCCUGUUGUUUGUGCAGCCGAGUUCAUGGUCACAGAGAUCAUCAUUGAGCAGGGGUAUUGAAUGCUUUUCCAUCGUUGCAUCUCUCAUGUAACACGACGAUUGUUCUGGAAAAACAACGACAUAAUCUUGCUUCUCGGUCGUCCACUUGCCAUCCAGCCAUGGAUUCUCCUCGAAGAAAAAGAGGAUCCAUCGAGGAUAACUCACCAUCCUCUGCUCUGCUGCUUGCCCCGUGUGCGGCUCCUCGGCCGCAUCAUUAUGGAGAGCGAGGUGUUCUUCUCCUUGCCAGGUAUCCGUGGUCUCCCUCAAUUCAUAAGAGCAGCCCCAGGCAAGCUUCAUGGGAAACUGGUCGUUGCUGAUGUCAAACUCUCCGUGGGAUCACAGUCCAACUACGAGUCCUUCCAACCAUCUUCUUGUGGACUCAUCUCUCUGCAGCAUCCGUCACAGCCAAGUAAACCAUCAGAUAAUUAAUUCAAUCUUCUAGAUCUGACAAAGGCGCCCUAUUUUGUGUGAUUUAUUUGUGUGGACUUCAUGCAUAAUGAUGAUGAUCUUGAGCUUUGACUGAAGUUGGUUGGGGUCUUGAAGCUGAGAAGAUCGGGUUGUGCUGAUUUUUUAAAUUUUUGUUGUUUGUGCAGCCGAGUUCAUGGUCACAGAGGUCAUCAUUGAGCAGGAGUAUUGAAUGCUUUUCCAAUAGUACGAGCGCCCAGACUACAGGUUGCUUUAGGUUAUGAUUUCUUCCUUUUUUCUUCAGUUUGUAUAAUUAGUUUAUUAUACGGUUAGUUGAUACGUGAAGAUGUUUUACUAAACAGAUUGAAGUUGCCAUCAGGUAUCGUACUUGUCAGUUGGUUUGUACAGUGAAUAUGCUAAUUGAGUGAUAAAGAUGCGUAUGUCAUUUCACCAUUUAAAGAUUGCUAUACUGAGUGAUUAAGAUGCUGGAAGGUACGUACAGUUCAAGCUUCUCACAAUGAAAAAGACAACACUACAUUUUGUUUAUACUCUAAUUUGUAAGUUUCUUUCAAAUAUCAUUACAAAGAUUUCCUCAUUUUCUUCUAAAUUGUGCGGGGCGCACAUCAUGGCUGCCAUCAUUGAGAAUUAGCUCGAACUCCUCCUAAUCAGUCUCACAUCAUUGUCGUGCUAAGAAAUACAACAAGGAGGAGAGUCGGUUGGCAACAUGUUAUUUGAAGUGCAACCAAUGACGAACAUGUGAGUUGUGACAAGCUUUGUUUUUGCUCACAGUGGAUUCAUGUUGGAAAUUUAGUUAAUUAGUAAUACCCCACUCCCCACGUAUUGAUAAUCAUGUAUUUCUUGAUGUGGCUUGGAAACUGGUCAUCUCAUGACUAUUCUACUGUUAUGUUUUCUAAUGCUUCAUCUGUGUCAUUGGAGGGAUCUGUCGUUUUAUAGGCGUUGCCUCCUUUUUAGGCCGUAGCCAAUGGAACAUAAAUGUUGAUGUGCUGUCCAUCUAGACAUCUCAAACAUCAUCUUGGAAGGCUGCAACAUCAAGACUAUGUAUUGUUUAGGCCAUUGAUUUUGCCAUGUACAGUGGUCUGCAGCCAAGAACAGCGAUGCCAUUCUGAACUGAUUCCUGUCACAUUCCAUCUGAGAUGCAUGAAGCCAUGAAAUCACAUGAUACAAAUUAUCACGGGAUGGCGUUCAAGUGGCGUCCAUGUUCUUGAUUACGCUGAUGGUGAUUAUCCUCAUGGCGCUCUUCAUACCCCAUGGAGUCUGGAAAAUGCCCAAUGCCUGGAGUUCAAGAUCAAGAAGGUUACAAGGAUGUUAGCAUGUCUUCUUCAACAAAACAGGUAGCAGUGAUUUCAUGGAGAGCGGCGGCUGUAAUGAGCUUAGACAUGCCAUGUUUGGCAAAAGUUUCCCUAUAUGGUUUAGAACUUGUAGUUUUAAUCUUUGUACACUAAUUAAGAUUAGGGACAACAUAGUAAGAUACACCCUCGCUUCCAUCAUUCCAGUAAUAUUUGUUUGAUGUCAACCGAGGAAGAGGCACAAGGGGUUAGAGGGUUGCUAGCUACCACCUACGGUAACAUGAGACAUGGACUUACCUGGAAACAAGGUAUGAAAAAUUCCGUUUUCCCAUAAUUAAUCUACAAAUGGAUGAGUGGGUCUUCCAUUCGUGAGCAUUUUUCAAGGUUCAUGUACGAAAAGAGAAGAAACAAUAAUAAACAUUAUAGCCACAUGCAUAGUUGGUGGAGCAUGCUCCCCGGACAUACCAGGCUAAUUGAUUUUCAAAAGUACUUAUGGAAAAUGACUUGAUGGAAGUAAACAACAUGGCAGCAAGGUGAUUCGAUUUUCGAUUAGUUUUGCAAAGUUCAGUUACGUAUAUUUGAAAUAAGUAACAAAUGACAUGUGAAAAAUAAGUGCAAAUCUUAUGUUUGCUAGCUACACACGUUUUUCAUGCUUUGGUGUUUUUCUCUUUAACUUUAUUGAGUGCUAGCCGUGUGUGCGUUGGGACCAGUUUGAUUUCAAUCUAAAAGGCAACAUGUUCCAGAUUAUAUCAUUAUCAAUUAUGUGCUAACAAAGAAAAAUCACCAAGUAUAUUUGUUUUUAGAAGAUUGAAGCCCUUCCGUGACCUUAGUUUUGCACCUUUUUUUGGAAGUUGUCUAUAUUCUCCAUGACCUUAUUUUUAAUUCGAUGGGAGAGAGAAAGAAAGGAUGAUGACCCAGGCCAGGUAUAAAAGAUGUAGAAAGCAUAAUAGUAGGUACUCUGGCACAAGGUAAAAUAUGCUUUUGGUGUUAUAUGUAUCAAUUCCAAAGAUAGCCAUGUCUGCAAUUAUUAAUCAGAUGAAAUAUCCAUUGCAAUGGUACAUGUGGCAACCCCCAAAAAAACUCUAACAACUCAUGUUGCAUAGAUGAAGCAAUAACCUCCAAUGAGUAAUGCUUAAAAUAAAUAAAUAGAAGACACCUCAUAGAUGAGAAUACGAAAACAAGUUGCAAUGCAUACAUAUAUCGUCCAAUCCAUUAACUAUUGAAGCAAAUAUUCCAUAGAAAACCUAUCGGUAUAACUCCAUACUUCGAAGACAUAUUUAUAUAGUCCUCUCCAUUUCAUACUAGCCCGUGCGGAUGCACGGGUGGACGACUAGUUUAAAUAAUACGUCGAAGCGUACUGAUACAAGUAGUGCAAUAAGCAAAAAAUAGGACUAUUUGACAUGUCCUAUCCAUGGGCAAGCUGCGUAUGGGUAAUAAAAAGCGGGUAUGUCGAUUGUUAUUAGAGACCACCUGAGGGUUCCCUUGUACAUCUUAGCUUCUUGCCUCCUUGGUUGUUCCUUCCCGUAAUGUGUCCGGCAAUCAUACCGCUGGAAAGGGCUUCCAGAGAGUAAGGUCUUGAAAGAGAAAAAAUGAUAAAGGUAUGCAACCCCUAUGGCGGUUAAGCCGCAUUGCGGGACGUGCCCUGAUCGUGCCCCCGCCUAUGCCCAUGGUAUUUUUAGUGCGUAAUUAUGUACGCGCGGCACGAAUUUCGUCGCUUGACUGGGACUGGGACAGGGGCCGAAUUGCUAGGCGAGCUCUAAACGUGCCAGGCGAUCCUGUUGCAGGUUACUCCGGACUCGCUUGACAGUUUCCGGGGGCUGUAUCGCCGAAUUGGCGGUUUGGCUUAAAAGGCUGCUUUGUGCUUCUACUGUGAGGGCUGUAGUGUGCUCUUCCGUGCCGAGCAAGCGUUCUGUGUUUCCAUUGACUGUUAUGACCCCCCUAUGUCCUAGCAUCUUGAGCUUGAGGUAUGCGUAAUGCGGUACCACAUUGAAUUUUGCAAAUGCGGUUCGCCCGAGCAGUGCGUGAUAGCCACUGCGGAACGUGACGAUAUCAAAGAUUAACUCCUCGCUUCGGAAGUUGUCCGGAGAUCCGAAGACCACUUCCAGUUUCAUUGAGCCCGUGUAAUGGGCCUCUACGCCUGGGAUGACGCCCUUAAAGGUGGUUUUGGUGGGUUUGAUCCUCGAGGGAUCUAUACCCAUUUUGUGCACUGUAUCCUGAUAGAGCAGGUUCAGGCUGCUGCCGCCGUCCAUAAGGACUCGAGUGAGGUGAAAUCCGUCUAUGAUGGGGUCUAGGACCAAUGCGGUGGAUCCGCCAUGACGGAUACUAGUGGGGUGGUCCCUGCGAUCGAAGGUGAUUGGACAAGAGGACCAUGGGUUGAACUUUGGGGCGACGGGCUCUAUCGCAUAGACGUCCCUUAGUGCACGCUUCUGUUCCCUCUUGGGAAUGUGGGUUGAGUACAUCAUGUUCAGCGUCUUCACUUUUGGGGGAACCUCUUCUGUUCUCCCGUGUUCGGCGGCUGGGGCUCCUCCUCGUCAUCACUAUGCAGCCCCUUGUCCUUGUUUUCAGCAUUCAACUUGCCGGCCUGCUUGAACACCCAGCAUUCUCUAUUGGUGUGAUUGGCUGGCUUAUCGGGGGUGCCGUGGAUUUGACACGAGCGAUCAAGUAUGUGAUCCAAACUGGACGGGCCCGGAGUACUUCUUUUGAAUGGAUUUUUUCGCUGACCAGAUCUAGAGCCUCUGAAUCCGGCAUUGACUGCUGUAUCAUCGGCGUUAUCGCCGUUGUUGCGGCGCUUGUGUCUGUUACGACGUGGUCUGUCGUUGCCAUCUUUAGUAUUCGAAGCGCUCGGAUUCCUUGAUGUGUUGUUGCUGCGAGCCAGCCAGCUAUCCUCGCCCGUGCAAAAGCGGGUCAUGAGUGUCGUGAGGGCUUCCAUAUACUUCGACUUCUCCUGGUCGAUGUGCCGGGCGAGCCACUCGUCACAGAUGUUGUGCUUGAAUGCAGCUAAGGCCUCUACAUCUGGACAGUCGACAAUUUGGUUUUUCUUAGUUAGGAACCGUGUCCAGAAUUGUCUGGCCGAUUCCCCUGGCUGCUGAGUUAUAUGGCUCAAGUCAUCAUCAUCCGGUGGUCACACAUAAGUGCCCUGGAAGUUGUCAAGAAAUGCGUCUUCCAAAUCCUCCCAACUGCCGACGGAGUCUGCUGGCAAGCUAUUCAGCCAAUGUCGAGAUGGUCCUUUGAGUUUUAGUGGGAGGUACUUGAUGGCAUGCAGAUCAUCACCGCGAGCCAUGUGGAUGUGGAGGAGGAAAUCCUCAAUCCAUACGGCGGGAUCUGUUGUACCAUUAUACGAUUCGAUAUUUACGGUUUUAAAACCCUCUGGGAAUUCGUGAUCCAUAACUUCAUCAGUGAAGCAUAGGGGGUGUGCGGCGCCUCUAUGUCGGGCUAUAUCACGAUGCAGUUCAUAUGAGUCUUGUCUGCUGUAUUCAGCCCGGCCGGAUUUACUUUUAGUGUAUCCGGCGUGACGGUCAUCGUCCCGCGUUGGCGCGCGCCCCCGUGACCCGUAUAUCGACCUUGCAUGUUUUGCCCUGCUUUCCCAUACGUCUCGCAGGUCCCGUGUGUUGCCCCGGGCCUUCGUAUUUUUGUUUGAGUGGCGGUGGGAUGCAGGCUGAACUUCAGGUUGAAACGCCUCUCUGGCUCGGCCACGAGGUGGCCGGUCAGCCACAUCGUACACUGGUGAUGUAGGUUUCAAUGCUUCCUCCUCGAGUCGGGGUAGCGACCUGCACUUUGGGUAACUCUUGGAGGGGCGCUCGAGUUCGUAUUCCUCGGCCGCAAGGACUUCGGUCCAUCUGUCUGCUAGCAAAUCAUGAUCAGCUCGAAGCUGUUGUUACUUUUUCUUCAAGCUAUUUUCUGUGGCUAUAAGCUGGCGCUUGAAGCGCUCCUGCUCGACGGGAUCCUCAGGAACGAUAAAUUCUUCAUCACCGAGGCUCACCUCGUCUUCGGAGAGAGGCAUGUAAUUGUCCUCCUCCGAUUCUCUAUCUGCUUCCCGCUCUGGAGGGCUAGCUUGUUCACCCUCCCGCUCUAAAUCGUGCUGGAGGGGAUUGUUGUCGUCUUCGGCACUAUCCGGAGUGUUUUUGUCCCUUGUGCCGGUAUAACUACUUUUGCUAUGGCGGGACUUAGAGCCGUUCCGCUAACGUCGGCGCUUGGGUUGCUUCUUGGAGGGGUCAUCCCCUACUGUCUCGUCGCCAUUGACUUCUUUGGGGGUGUCCACCAUGUAUAUAUGAUAUGAUGAGGUGGCGGUCCAGCGCCCUGUGGGCGGUGGUUCCUGUUCGUCUCCCGCAUUGUCGUCCAUACCGUCGAUGUCUUCGGAGUCGAAGUCGAGUAUGUCGGUUAAAUCGUCGACAGUGGCUACUAAGUGGGUGGUGGGUGUGGGGCGAAUUUCUUCGUCGUCCGCAUCCAAUUCUAGCCGCACAUAGUUCAGCCAAGGUUCUCCUGACAAGGAGAGAGACCUUAAUGACUUUAGCACGUCGCCGAAAGGUGAGUGCUGAAAGAUAUCCGCGGAGGUGAACUUCAUGAUCGGCGCCCAAUCAGAUUCGAUAGGCACGGACGCAGGCGGCUCGGAGUCCGUGGCCGGAGACGAAUCCAGUGGUUCGGCAACAUGACUCUCGUAAGGGGUGAAGUCAGUAUCCGGCUCCAUCUCCACUGAGAGUGCGGCCUCCAUGGCGGGGUCUAUCCUCCCAUCCUCGAAUGGCGCAAUUUGCUCCGGAUUGAGGGCCAGAGUAGUUGCAGGUGUGAUCUCCCGAACACUUCAGACGGCAGAGUCACGUCAUGCUCGUCGUGAUUGUGUGGUGCACCUGACAUGGGCUCGAAUCCAUCGAAGAUCAAGUCUCCGCGGAUGUCGGCAGUGUAGUUUAAGUUUCCGAACCUGACCUGAUGGCCAGGGGCUUAGCUCUCGAUCUGCUCUAGGUGGCCAAGCGAGUUGGCCCGUAGUGCGAAGCCGCCGAAUACGAAGAUCUAUCCGGGGAGGAAAACCUCACCCUGGACCGCAUUGUUACCGAUGAUCGAAGGAGCCAUCAAGCCUUAUGGUGACGGCACGGUGGAACUCUCAAUGAAAGCACCAAUGUCGGUGUCAAAACUGGCGGAUCUCGGGUAGGGGGUCCCGAACUGUGCGUCUAAGGCGGAUGGUAACAGGAGGCGGGGGACACGAUGUUUACCCAGGUUUGGGCCCUCUUGAUGGAGGUAAUAUCCUACGUCCUACUUGAUUGAUCUUGAUGAUAUGAUUAUUACAAGAGUUGAUCUACCACGAGAUCAUGGAGGCUAAACCCUAGAAGCUAGCCGAUGGUAUGAUUAUUCUUUUCCUACGGACUAAACCCUCCGGUUUAUAUAGACACGGAGGGGGCUAGGGUUACACAGAGUCGGUCACAAGGGAGGAGAUCUACAUAUCUGUAUUGCCAAGCUUGCCUUCCACGCCAAGGAGAUUCCUAUCCGGACACGGGAUGAAGUCUUCAAUCUUAUAUCUUCAUAGUCUAACAGUCCGGCCAAAGGAUGUAGUCUGGCUGUCCGGAGACCCCCUAAUCCAGGACUCCCUCACCCUCCCUGGCAGUCGGACGUCCUUAAACAACUCACACCAUGAUACAUAUCCAACGUAUCUAUACUUUUUAUUGUUCCAUGAUAUUACAGUAUCAUUCUUGGAUGUCUUAUACUCAUUUACUAGCAACUUCAUAUCAGUUUUUGGGACUAACCUAUUCACAUAGUGCCGAAUGCCAGUUGCUGUUUUCUACUUGUUUUUACUUUGCAGAAUAUCAAUACCAAACAAAGUCCAAAUGCGACGAAAAUCUUUGGAGAUUUUGUUCUGGACAGAGGACACCGAGGGAGUCAAAGAAGUGCAUCGGAGGAUGACCGUGGGACCCACUAGGCACCCGGGCGCGCCAGAAGGCCCAAGCGCGCCCAGGUGGGUAGUGGGCACCACGGGAAGCUUCUCCACUGACUCUGGCUCCAUAAAUACUGUAAAAUCCCAAAAACCCUAUGGGAGUCGAUGAAACACAAUUCCAGCUGCCGCAAAUUCCAGAACCACGAGAUCUAAUCUAGAGGCCAUUUCCAGCACUCUUCCGGAGGGGGCAAAGAUCACGAAGGGGUUCUUCAUCAUCACCCUUGCCCCUCUAAUGAUGCGUUAGUAGUUUACUACAGACCUAUGCGUCCAUAGGUAAUAGCUAGAUGGCUUCUUCUCUCGUUUUGAUCUUCAAUACAAUGUUCUCCUCGAUGUUCUUGGAGAUAUAUUUGAUGUAAUGACUUUUUGCAGUGUGUUUGUUAGGAUCCGAUAAAUUGUGAGUUUAUGAUCAGAUCUAUCCAUGAAUAUUGUUUGAGUCUUUGCUGGACUCUUUUAUGCAUGAUCUUUAUAGCCUCGUAUUUCUUCUCCGAAACUUCGGUUUGGUUUGGCCAACUAAAUUAAUUUUUCUUGUAGUGGGAAGAGGUGCUUUGUCAUGGGUUCGAUCAUGCGGUGCUCAAUCUCAGUGACAGAAAGAGACAUGACAGGCAUGUACUUUGCUAUUAAGGAUAACAAGAUGGAGUCUAUUCCUACGCGAAUAGAUCUUGUCUAGAUCAUGUCAUCGUAUUUAUUGCAUUACUCCGUUUCUCCAUGAACUUAAUACACUAGAUGCACACUCGAUAGCGGUCGAUGUGCGGAGGAAUAGUAGUAGGUGCAGAAUCAUUUCGGUCUACUAAUCUGGGAUGCGAUUCCUAUAUACAUGAUAAUUGCCUUGGAUAUCAUCAUAAUUAUUUUCUUUUCUGUCAAUUGCCCAACAAUAAUUUGUUUACCAACCGUACACUAUUUUCUCGAGAGAAGCCUCUAGUGAAAUCUACGGCCCCCGGGUGUAUUUCCUAUCAUAUUAUUUUCAGAUCAAUUUAUCCAAAAACCCAAAAAUACCUUGUUGCACUUUUUAUUUCUUUAUUUUAUUUUGUGUUUUAUUAAUAUCUAUUUAUCAAAUAUCAUAUAAUUUAAUCUAUCUCAAUACCGAGGAGGGAUUGACAACCCCUCUUACGCGUUGGGUUGCAAGUUUUUCUUGUUUGUGUGCAGGUGUUGUUUACAUAGUGUUGGGGAUAUGACUAUUGGAUAUGACCUGCCCAGGAGGGGCCGGGUUAUAUCAAUGUCAGUUCAUCUAAACAGAGCCCGUAAGUAUGUUGAAGAUGGCGGUUCAUGAAGUAGGCUUGUUAAAGGGCCCAAGCCCGAAGGCGGCUUAAGGCCCCACUACAAAAAAAGACACAUCCGUGACAUUUUAGGCCGAACGAAAUUUUUUUCUAUCAUACAUAUGACACUUCUAUGACGAUAAUUAUGACAAAACCCGGUAUCAUCAUAGAUGUGGUGAGCUCCUACUUCUAUGACAAAAAAUCAUGACAGAAAAUGGGCUUUUCGUCCUAGGCGGGCCGGAGACGCAGCUGCAUGACAUUCUUUGGGCCGUACAUGACGGAAAAACCAUGGUAGAAGCGAGGGGUAGGAAAAUUUUAGGGAGUUCCCGGUUACGGUGGGAGGUCGGGGGCCAAGCGAUGCGCGUUUCUCUCGUACACGUACGCGCGUGUGUGCGAGGCGUUGGCUCUAACUGAACCCGAGCGAGGCGUUGGGCUCUAACUGAACCCGAGCAAUUGCACUGUAGGCUACGCGUUACUGAACCCGAACAAUCGACCGAUGGCUGUUAACUGAACCCGAUCGAGUGAUUCCUUCGCUACUGCUGCUAACUGAAGCCGAUCGAUUGGAUGAACAGUNNNNNNNNNNNNNNNNNNNNNNNNNNNNNNNNNNNNNNNNNNNNNNNNNNNNNNNNNNNNNNNNNNNNNNNNNNNNNNNNNNNNNNNNNNNNNNNNNNNNNNNNNNNNNNNNNNNNNNNNNNNNNNNNNNNNNNUGAGCGGUGGCGUUGCCUCUGGAUGAACAGGACCCCGUGGUGUGGUGGAGGGCUGGAUGAACAGUAGAUGAUGGAGGGAUGCCCGUGGAGGGGUGGUUGAAUAGGACCCCGUGGUAUGGAGGGCUGGAUGAACAGUAGACGGUGGAUGGGUGCCCGUGGAGGGGUGGUUGAACAGUAGCCGGUGGAGUAGCGCGCGGUGGAGGCUGGAUGAACAGGAGCCCGUGGAGGCUUGAGGAGGUCGACGGUAGCCCCUGGAGGCUGGAGGAGGUCGACGGUGGAGAUGAACAGUAUCCCGUGGAGUCCCGUUUUGCGGUACGCCACACCCCUCCCGAUGAACAAGACCCCUGUUUCGACCGUAGGAGGUCCGUUUCGUCCGUUUUGCGGUACGCCACACCCCUCCCGAUCAACAGGACCCCCAUUUCGACCGUAGGAGGUCCGUUUCGUCCGUUUUGCAGUACGCCACACCCCUCCUGAUCAACAGGACCCAUGUUUCGACCGUAAGAGGCCCGUUUCCUCCGUUUUGCGGUAUGCCAGACCCAUCCCGAUCAACAGGACCCCGUUCCGAAUGUAGGAGGUCCAUUUCCUCCGCUGUGCGGUAUGCCAGGCCUUGUUUCCAUCGCCUGAUCCGUCCAAGCCCUCCCGAUGAACACGGCCACACAUUCUGUUCCGACCCAGCCGGUUGGCUCCCACGCGUUCCGUUGCCUCCUGAUGAACACGGCGCAUUCCAUUGCCUCCCCAUGAACACGACGCAUUCCGUUGCCUCCCCAUGAACAUGACGACGACGUUGUUUCUCCGUUCCGACCCAGCCAUGUACACGAGCCCUGGCCGUACGUAUGCGCGAGUAUGCGUUCGAGACCCCGCCCGUAUGUACACAUACGUGGCCGUAUUUUCUUUCUUGCACCUUGGCCGAUGUACGUACGUGUACAUGCUACGUGCGCGCCUCUACUACGACACAUACGCGCCUCUACUACGACACGUGUGCGCCUCUACAUCCACCAGUAUAUAUGUAGGUACACGUUCGCGACCAGAAUGACAAUGCUACAUACGCUUCGACCAGGUGGUUCCCAGCUGUCAGGUACUUCCUUGCCUGCGAAGAUGUAGCUGGUGGGUCCCAGUAGUCAGGGGGGCGAAUAGUUUUUUUUGCCCAGACGCACUUCCUUGCGUGCGAAGAUGUAGCUGGUGGGUCCCAGCAGUCAGGGGGAAACAUUUUUUUGUGAAAUACAGUGGCCCAUCUGGUGGGUCCCAGCUGUCAGAUGGAGGAAUCAUUAUUUACCGUGUAAUAAGGAGACACUUCCUUGCUGCGGCCGUGGACCCAGCUGUCAGCCUCUCCACGUACAAUCCACGUCCGAUGGAAGUCGUUCCUUGACCACGUUGACCACGCCGCACCGAGAGCACAAGGGCGGUGGAUGAUGGUGAGGCCUAGGAAGGGGACGACGGGGAGCUAGGGAAGACGUGGCAGUGGAAGCCCGCACGGAGAGGAGUGCGCUGGUUCACUGGUUUGGCUGUGGUGUGAGGCUGCCGUCGCCGCAGGUCCUGGCCAGCGGUGGGAAUAGUAGGGGGCGGUGAGGCCUCCGCGGCAGGACAGCCGGCCACGGGAGGCAGGAGCAUGCGGCACGACCGGCGCUGCUUUGGGCGGCUGGAGCAAGAAGACCAGAGGUUGAAGAAGCACUACGUCCGUUGGAUGGACAUCGUACGGUCACUGGAGCUAGAAUCGUUCAUAUUGACUAAAGUUGACAAAGGCCCCCGUCCCAGUCAACUUAGUAGGCCCACAAGUCAGCCUCCCACCAUGGUGGGUCCCAGCUAGCAGGGGGAGUAUUCAUUUUUUUGUGCGUAAUAAGGAGGCACUUCCGGUGGGUCCGAGCUGACAGCGGGGGGACCGUUUUUUUCGCAAAAUACGCUGGCCCAUCCGGUGGGUCCCAACAGUCAGGGGGAAACAUUUUUUCGCGAAAUAAGGUGGCCCGUCCGGUGGGUCCCUGCUGUCAGGUGGAGGAAUAAUUAUUAUGCGUGUAAUAAGGAGGCACUUCCUUGCGGCCGCCUGGACCUAGCUGUCAGCCUCUCCACGUACAGUACUCUUUCGAUGGAAGUCGGUCGUUGACCACGUUAAGCACACCGCGCCGAGAGCACCAGGGCGGUGCUCUGGACAACGGCGAGGCCUAGGAAGGGGACGAUGCGGAGCCAGGGAAGACAUAGCAGUGGAAGCCCGCACAGAGAGGAGUAUGAGGGUUCACUAGUUUGGCUGCGGUGUGAGGCUGCCAUCGCCGCAGAAUAACAGGGGGUGUGGGUGAGUAGAGGGAUGGCCUGGCCAACGGUGGGAAUAGUACGGGGCGGUGAGGCCUCCGCGGCAUCACAGCCGGCCACAGGAGGCAGGAGCACGCGACACGACCGGCGCUGCUUUGGGCGGCUGGAGCAAGAAGACCAGAGGUUGAAGAAGCACUACGGCCGUUGGAUGGACAUCGUACGAUCACUGCAGCUAGAAUCGUUUAUAUUGACUAAGAUUUUUUUGAGGCAAGUUUAUAUUGACUAAGUUGACAAAGCCCUUGGUACGGGUCAACUUAAUAGGCCCACAGCUCGUAUUUGGCAGAGAACAUAUAGCCCAUUUGCGAUUUGUAAGAAUGUACAUCCCACUUUUUAAUUCUAAUGGAAUUUAGUACAGCCCAUUUACAGUUUGUUAAAAGUACAAUCCAACUUCUAGCUAGUACAACGAUUAAUAAU
rnacentral:lncRNA from 1 species